rnacentral:lncRNA from 1 species
CAUUAUUAGUUUUCUGCUUUUAGUCGUCAGGUACCAUGUUGAGAAAAGUUGGAAGGCAUUAAUUCGACAUUUGCAUCUGCUGUGCUUUUGAUAUCCCUACUCCGUGCUGGAUAUGUCGUAUUACCUAAUUUUGAAACAGGGGUGUUCUCUUGGGGUUUAUUUGGAUAAUAAGAUUACAAAGAACUAGUUCUUGUUAAAUUCAAUUUCUAACUGAAUCUUGGAUAUGUCGUAUCAUCUUGUUUGGAUUGUCUAAUUGAAUCUCUAGAUAUAAAAAACCAAGUUCUGCAAAAAGAUCCGUCUAAGGCUCAUUGAGAUGAGACUUUGUUAUGUCACAUCUAAGUGAUAUCAUCUCCCUUUGUGUGGUCCCUUUUUCCUAUGCAGCACACCUUUUUUAGCUUGUUCUGUUCUUGUAUUUUUGUUUUUGUUUCUUGUUUUUUUAGCAACUGUUUUUGUUUCUUGUAGAUGUGCUGUUUCUGUCUGGAUCGAUGCAGCAUUUGUUGGGCUGGGCUUUUUAGUUUUUUUUACUUUGUAUUUGGGCAUUUUCAUUUCUAUUGAAUUUCUUCUAGCUGACGGCUUUGCUUUGUGUUGUUUUUUGACAGGCCUGGCCAAAAGAAAAGGCAGACUAUAUUUACACAUAUCCCGAUAAAAAGAAUAUAAAAAUACUGAAUGGAUAAAAUCACCAAAAAGAGCAUGCUGGUAAAAAACACAAUGAACAAUAAUAAUACUCCCUCUAAAGUCGUAUUGAAGUCUGAGACACUUUGGGAUCAAGGGAACGGAGGGAGUAAUAAUUUAAGACGUGUUUAAAAUGAAAAAAAAAUAUAUUUCUUUUAAAGUUAUAUUAAAUUGAGACAUUUAUUUUUGGGAUGGAGGGAACGUGUUUGGUUGCCUGCUGAAAUUGCAACUAAUUCUUGAGUGUUUUUGGUAAUUCAUAAUAACACAUAUCUUAUUGAGUUAAUAUCCAUUCAAGUUAAAGAUUUUAGGAUGUUCAAUGAUUGGCAUGGCAAGGAUUAUUGAUUGUGGACCCCUCAAAAUACUAAAGACAUGAAUUGAUAAAAGCUCAAGACUUAAUAUUUUUGGUUAAGUGACCUAAGAUCACAUUGAGUCCAUAAGAAAGCCAACAUUAUUAAAAGGGCAUUAGGUUUUGAUUAUGAUCUACUUGCUCAAGUGCUUAAUGAUAUUGCUCCAAAAUCCUUAACCACUUUCUCUAUCCAAAUAUGUCCAAAACCCUACAUUCCAACUCGGCCCCAUCAAAAUUUCUCCAUCCAGACCUACUGAGUUCAUCUGGACACUGCCUCUGCCAAACCCUAACAAAUCGGAGUCACUGAUAUGGUUCUCGGUCCCACCGGUUUGCCCUGCCCAACCUUCUGUAACCAGUUGCAAUUAUUUCGGUCUCACCGAGUUUUGCAAUCGAUCCCACCGAGAUGGCUUGUCAAAUCUUUUGUAACUUGUUGCAAUUAUUUCGGUCCCACCAAGUUUUGCAAUCGGUCCCAACGAGAGGGCGUGCCAACCUUUCUGUUGCCUUAUUGCUUCACUUCGGUCCUACUGAGUUGAUGCAAUCGGUGCCACCGAAACGAGGUUUGCCCUAACCAUUGCACAUCGAUUCAUCCGAGUUGUUACAUGUUGGUCCCAUCGAGACCUCCAACGUUCAUAUCUUUUACACAGGUCGGUGCCACCGAGAUCUCUGAUCGGUACCAUCGAGUUGGGUCGAAAGUGUGUAACAGUUGGAUUUCGUGUGGAGGCUAUUUAUACUCCUCCACCCCUCUUACUUAGUAAGAUAGCCACCAGAACAUGCCUACACUUCCACUACUCAUUUUUUGAGAGAGAACUACCUACUCGUGUGUUGAGAUCAAGAGGUUCCAUUCCUAUCAUUUGAACCUUGAUUUCUAGCCUUCCCCAAGUUGCUUUUCACUCAAAUCCUUCUUCCAUCAUUGCUAAACCUGAGAGAGAGAGAGAGAGUUGAGUGUUGGGGAGACUAUCAUUUGAAGCACAAGAGCAAGGAGUUCAUCAUCAACACACCGUCUAUUACCUUUUGGAGAGUGGUGUCUCCUAAAUUGGUUAUGUGUCGCUUGGGAGCCUCCAAUGUGAUAUGGAGUUGAACCAAGAAGUUUGUAAGGGCAAUGAGAUCGCCUACUUCGUGAGGAUAUACAUGAGUGAUGCAAGUCCUUCGUGGACGAUGGCCAUGAUGGGAUAGACAAGGUUGCUUCUUCGUGGACCCUUCGUGGUGGAGCCCUCCGUGGAGUCGCGUAGCCGUUCCCCUUCGUGGGUUGAAGUCUCCAUCAACGUGGACAUACGAUAGCAUCACCUAUCGGAACCACGCCAAAAAUCACCGUGUCCCCAUUGCGUUUGCCUUCUCCAAACCCUUUCCUUUACUUACAUGUGCAUGUCUUACUUUCCGCUGCCAUACUCUUAGAAUUGCAUGUGUAGGGUGUUGCUUGAUUUGUCAUAAUUGCUAAAAUCUGCCUAUAACUAAAAUUGGCAAAAUAUUAGGUUUGAUUUGGUCAAGUAGUCUAAUCACCCACUCUAGACAUACUUUUGAUCCUACAAGUGAUAUCAGAGCUUUGGUCUAUGUAAGCCUUGGUUUCCAUUGCUUUGGUCACCAUAGUCUUGGUUUUACAACCUAGGAGAGUAUGGCGUCCAGCGAGGGUAAUUAUCACCAUAGAGGACCAUAUUUUGAUGGUACAAAUUUGCUAGUUGGAAGCAUAAGAUGAAAAUGCAUAUUCUUGGUCAUAACCCCACCGUUUGGUAUGUUGUUCGUAUUGGCCUGCAAGGUGAAUUCUUUGAGGAUGGUAGAGAACCAAAUCGUGAAGCGAUCGCGGAAGAAUGGAGGAUGUUGCAAUACAAUGCUCAAGCUUGUGAUAUUCUCUUCAAUGGUUUGUGCCCCGAGGAACUCAACAAAAUCAGCCGCCUUGAGAAUGCAAAGGAAAUGUGGGAUACUUUGGUUGAUAUGCACGAAGGUACUGACUUAGUUCCCCUUGCGUUUCUAUUUCUUCACUCUUACGUAUCCUGUAUGCAUGUACUCUGACUCUGUGAUAACUUAGUUUCCCUCGCGUUUCUAUUUCUUCACUCUUACGUAUCCUAUAUGCAUGUACUCUGACUCUGUGAUAACUUAGUUUCCCUCGCGUUUCUAUUUCUUCACUCUGAUCUUUGUCAAAUUCUUCAGAGUUUGACAAAUUUAUAAAAAUCUCCCAUUCAACCCCUUUUGGGAGAUAACCUACGCUUUCAAUUGGUAUCAGAGCAAGGUACUCCCUUGUCUAUGUGAUUUUGGUUUAACCACCUGGAGUUUAGUUAUAUCGACCACAUGUAUGAUCAAGGUUUCUGCUGCAUGCCCCAUCUUCGAUGGCACAGACUAUACCAAGUGGAAGGCUAUGAUGCGGAGCCGUCUGUCGAUGUUCUGGGAAUGGGGGUCCCUAGAGUUUCCUGCCUGCGGCCCGCGGCAUGGCUGAGCCAGCGGGCCGUACGACCCAUCUUCACCAACCAAGCAUCCAAGACCCUCGCGAGGGGCCAAGCCUCGCGAGGAGGACGACACAAGACCUCCUCUGGAGUGGUCUAGCUAGGCAGGCUCACGAGGAGCGGAGAUAUCAAGGCGAGGCGAACCUCACGAGGCUCUCGUGACGUGAGCCAUGACGAUCGACACCAGGCGGGCGCCAGCGGGCGCAGCGUCCUUGUUUCUCCUUUGGUGCAAAGGGGGCAAGCGCAGCCGUGGAGUACCGAGGGCUCAGGCAAAGGUUGCCAUUUCGGUACAACAAGACCAAGACCAUGGACUGCAAUACAGAGGUCAUCGUGGAGCCCAAAACAGCAUCACCACCAGAGCUUUGUGCAGGCGAAGACUACUUUUGUCAGGAUAGCUUGUACUAGCUGUCCCCCUUCAAAUUAGCCCGCCAUUGUUGGCUCCCUUCCUGUUUGAUAUUUGGGAAGAGGACCAGGGCCUCUAUAAAUAGGACUAGCCACCUCAGUGGAUGGGAGGAUCUCAUCUUGGCUUGAGAGAACCUACACACCACAAGUCCGAAAGCACAAGAACCCCUCAACCUUAGGAGGCCGUUCUUCCCUUGUAUUGUUCAUCAUCAGCCCAAGAGGCAAUCCACCACCACCACACUGGAGUAGGGUAUUACACCACAACGGUGGCCCGAACCAGUAUAAACCCCGUGUCUUUUGUGUUGUGAGUUCGUCGAGUUCGUCCGCAAGAUCUUAGCGAGCUAGAGCGUAGAUCGGUAGGAGGGAAAGACUUCGCGCGCACCCUAGUGUUGGAACCUUAAGGGUUUGCCGGAGCCCCACAUCCGACAUUUGGCGCGCCAGGUAGGGGUGCGCCGGGGCUUCUCUCCACCAACCAGCGCCCCGUACCGCCGCACUAUGCUCCCAUGGCAGGUGCCCCGUCACCAACCUCCGCGGUCAACACCAGCAACAGGGAGUCUGGAUACCGGGCCCUGACCCCCGCUCUGCAGCGAGUGCAGUGGCCAUCCAAGUUCAGGCCGGAGAUGCCGCCGCGUUUCGAUGGCGCGGCAGACUCGGCGCUGUUCCUGCUAGCAUACGAGGAGGCGGUCCUCGAAGCCAGAGGCGACGACAAGAUCAUGGCAAACUUGUUCCCCAUGGCCCUCGCCGGUGAGCCACGCGCUUGGCUGCUCAACCUCCCGGGAUCCACGGUGACAUCAUGGGGGAACUCCGCGACCUCUUCACUGCACGCUACGCGGCGCCGGCACACCAUGCAGUCGCGGCACUGCUGGGUGGCUCCCAAGCACCUCCUUUAGAUCGCCACGUCAAGCCUUUCUUCCGUCAGAUUGGGGCAGCCCGCAAGCGCCCGGGGGCUCCGCAGGGUUGGGCCGCGCUGGAGGCCGACCUCACCUUCGACUCGGAAGACCACCCCGGCUCCACCGCCGGCUCAGGGAUGCUCCCGAUGCUCUGCACGCCCACCAUCUGCAACGUGGCCGUCACCAAGACCCUCAUCGACGGCGGCACCGACCUCAACUUGCUCUUCAUGGAAGCCUUCAGCCUUCUUCAUGUGCCGCUCGAACGGCUCGGCCUCAGCAAGCCCUUCACAGGAGUGGGUGGUGGAUCCACUCACCCUUUGGGGCAGAUCCGCCUUCCUAUCACCUUUGGCACGUGGGACAACUAUCGCACCGAGCUGGUGGACUUUGACAUCGCCCGCAUCGGUCUCCCGUAUAAUGCCAUCCUCGGGCACCCGGCUCUCGCUCAGUUCAUGGCGACGACUCACCUGGCCUACAACGUCAUGAAGAUGCCAGGGAGCAAGGGCGUCCUCACCAUCAGGGGGACACUAAGGAGGCCAUGAUGGCGCUCAGACUCGCCUUCAAGACCGCGGCAGCGGCGCAGCCAGCCGGCGCCGGUGCUCCAGAGGCCAAGGAGACCGCGCCCACCAAGAAAAAGCAGUUGUUCACCCAAGACAAGGCGGAAGACCAAGCUCAGCAGGGCAACAUCGCAGAAGCUCCUGAGGACGGUCAGGUCUCAGGAGACCCAUCACCUCAGGAUAUGCCACAAUCUCAGUGGGACCCGAGCCUCGACAGUGUGCCAGCCCUCGUCGAGCACCCGGUGUACUUCGUCAGCACCGUACUGUGGGAUGCGAGGGUGCGCUACCCCAUGCCGCAGAAGCUCCUGCUCGCACUUUUGGUGGCCUCGCGCAAGCUACGACACUACUUCCAGGGGCACCCCAUCAAGGUCGUCUCGUCUUACCCAUUGGAGAGGGUACUCAGGAGCCCAAACUCAGCCGGAAGGGUCGCUGAAUGGAACAUCGAGCUGCAAGCAUUUCAGCUAGAGUUUAGCACCACCAGGGUCAUCAAGGGAGCCGCGCUCGCCGAUUUUGUGGCAGAAUGGACAGAUGCCCCGGAUCUUGAGGAAGGAGAAGACCGAUCCACCUCCCCAGGAAGCGAGGCCCCAGACGGCUGGGUCAUGUAUUUUGAUGGCGCCUUUGCGCACCAGGUCGCGGGGGCUGGAGCAGUGCCCAUCUCGCCCACUCAGGACAAGCUUUGCUACGCCAUGCAACUCUGCUUCUAGCACGGCGAGAAGGUCUCCAACAAUAUCGCAGAAUACGAAGGCCUCAUAGUCAGCCUAAAGGCUGCGGCGGCUAUGGGGGUGAGGCGCCUUACCAUCAAGGGCGACUCGCAGCUCCUCGUCAACUUCUCCAACAAAGUGUACGAGCCAAAGGACGAGCACGUGGAGGCCUACCUUGCGGAAGUGCGCAAAAUGGAAAAGCAGUUCGCAGGCUUGGAGCUGCAGCACGUGCCCCGAGGCACCAACAAGCCGAUGACAUUGCCAAGAGAGCAUCCAAGCGGCAACCGCAAGAGCCCGGCGUCUUCGAAGAGCGGCUCUUCAAGCCGUCAGCUACGCCACCUCUUUCAAGCACGACUCAGCCUCGGGAGGAUCUCCCUCAGCACCCGGUGUCGGGAGCCCCAGCUUGCGGCCCAAACUCAGGAGCUCGGCUGCUCUUGGCGCUCGAGCCCCAGGAGGAGUGCUGGACCAAGGAGUUCAAGGAGUACCUGAUGCACGGGACACUGCCGGAAAAGGAAGAAGACACGGAGCGCGUGGCCUGACAGGCCAUGACAUACUGCAUUCAAGACAGCGAGUUGUACAGGAAACAGCCGAACGAUGUCACGCUGCACUGCAUCUCCAGCGAUCAAGGGAGGGAGCUGCUGAUUGACAUACAUGGCGGGGACUGUGGACAUCACUCAUCAUCACGGACCCUUGUCGGCAAGGCCUUCCGCAGCGGAUUCUAUUGGCCCACAACACUCAACCAUGCAGCUGAGCUGGUGAAGUCCUGCGAAGCUUGCCAAUUCCACGCCAAGCAAAUCCAUCAGCCUGCUCAGGGCCUCCAAACCAUCCCGCUCACGUGGCCAUUCGCGGUCUGGGGGCUAGACAUCCUAGGCCCGUUCCCACGAGUGCUAGGGGGCUACCGUUAUCUCUACGUCGCCAUCGACAAGAUCACAAAGUGGGCGAAAGUGGAAGCCGUCCGAACCAUUCCAGCCGGCUCUGCUGUCAAGUUCAUCAAGGGCCUCGUGAGCCGCUUCGGGGUCCCCAACCGCAUCAUCACAAAUAACGGCUCGCAGUUUACUAGUAACCUCUUUAAAACCUACUGUGCUAACCUUGGAACGCAGAUCUGCUACGCUUCGGUAGCCCACCCCAGGAGCAAUGAUCAGGCUGAGCGCGCCAACGGUGAGGUCCUGAGGGGCCUUGUCGGUGUCAAAACCGGCGGAUCUCGGGUAGGGGGUCCCGAACUGUGCGUCUAGGCGGAUGGUAACAGGAGACAAGGGACACGAUGUUUUUACCCAGGUUCGGGCCCUCUCGAUGGAGGUAAAACCCUACUCCUGCUUGAUUAAUAUUGAUGAUAUGGGUAGUACAAGAGUAGAUCUACCACGAGAUCAAGGAGGCUAAACCCUAGAAGCUAGCCUAUGGUAUGAUUGUUGUAUGAUGAAGUUGUCCUACGGACUAGAACCCUCCGGUUUAUAUAGACACCGGAUAGGGUUAGGGUUACACAGAGUUGGUUACAAUGGUAGGAGAUCUUGAAUAUCCGCAUCGCCAAGCUUGCCUUCCACGCCAAGGAAAGUCCCAUCCGGAUACGAGACGAAGUCUUCAAUCUUGUAUCUUCAUAGUCCUGGAGUCCGGCUGAAGGUAUAGUCCGCCUACCUGAACACCCCCUAAUCCAGGACUCCCUCAGUAGCCCCUGAACCAGGCUUCAAUGACGACGAGUCCGGCGCGCAGAUUGUCUUCGGCAUUGCAAGGCGGGUUCCUCCUCCAAGUCCUUCAAGAAGAUUUUAAACACCAAGGAUAGUGUCCGGCUCUGCAAAAUAAGUUUCCACAUAUUGCCAUAGAGAGAAUAAUAUCAACACAAAUCUAAUCUGCUGACGUAUUCCGCAGCGUGACAUCACACUACGGCCAAGUCCUUUACUCGAAUCGUUUUUACUUUUCCACCUCAGCACGUUUAGCGAGGCGGUUUCCUUGGCACGUCUUGUCAAAGCAGAGAUCGUGUCCCCCCUUUUAUGGGAUUCUCAUCAAUACGGACGUGGGUAACCCAACUGCGCCAUUUAUCACGGCGCUUGGGAGGCAAGCGAGUUUUACUAGGCCAGUGGGGACGCACAACCGCAUCCGCCCAUAUAAGGGGAUAAGGAUCCACCUUUUUACCUACGCCUUCUUCCUCCUUUGCCUAUCCAUCUCCUGCGCACUCGAGCUCCAGCGCCCAAGUCCACACUUCCUACCUCGACCUCCUCUAGCAAUGUUCGGAGCGGGAGGCAAGUGGAUGGUCUCCUCCGUCACAGAGGGCCAUGUCAAAAAGCUAAGGAAGGCCGGAUACUUGUCCAAGGACAUCGCGCACCGGCUUCCCGAGGAAGGGCAGCUUCUCCCCACCCCAAAGCCCCAUGAGAGGGUAGUAUUCCUUCCCCACUUCCUCCGCGGACUGGGUUUCCCACUCCACCCAUUUGUCAGGGGGCUCAUGUUCUACUAUGGCCUGGAUUUCCACGAUCUGGCCCCGAACUUCGUCCUCAACAUCUCGGCGUUUAUCAUCGUGUGCGAGGCUUUUCUCCGCAUCCGCCCCCAUUUCGGCCUCUGGCUCAAGACCUUCAACGUCAAGCCCAAGGUGGUGCGCGGCAACCAGGCGGAGUGCGGAGGCGCCAUGGCGGGCAAGAUGGCCAACGUCCUAUGGCUCGAGGGCUCCUUCGUGGAGACCCUGAAGGGGUGGCAAUCAUGGUGGUUUUACAUCACCAAGCCGCGCGAUCCGAAAUGGAUCGCAACCCCCGAGUUCCGAUCCGGACCCCCCACGCGGCUUAUGUCCUGGAAAGAGACGGGCCUGUCGUGGGGUGACGAAAAAGAGGUGACCGGAUUGCAGACAUGCAUCCAGUCCCUGGUGAGCAAGCCGAUCAAGCCUGUCAAUGUAGUCCAGGUCAUGCUCGUCCGCCGGAUCCUCCCGUGUCAACAACGGGACUUUACUCUGUGGGAGUUCGACCCGGCGCAACACCAAACCCUUAAUAGGCUCUUCGACACGACGUAUGAAGACGUCUGGAAGGUGCUAACCAAAGGCGCCGAGGCUCCCACAUCCGCUUCCAAGGACCGCGGAUAUAGCUCGUAGCGUCACGCUAGUGAGGUAAGCUAUUUUCACCUUUUACAAGAUGUUAAGUUUUUUCAUAGUUUGACUCUAUGCGGGAUCUAAACUCCCUCACCUUUGACAGGCUUGGAAGGCGCAGUCCGGAUCGAUUAACUGUUCGGUUCCCUUGCCCGAAGACCCAGCCCCUGCUCUCCUAGUGAAGCUGCUGGUUCCGGCGCCUUAUGUGAUGCCGGAGAAGAAGGCCAAGAAGAAGAAGGCCACGGGGACUCGAAAGAGUGCCCGCAAUGUGGUGGUGUCGGACUCGUCAUCCGACGAGUCCGAGACGCUCUCCUCCCGUGAGAACGAGGAGGAGGAAGAAGAAAACUCUCCCCCUCCAGCGGGGGGAGGAAAGAAAAGGAAGGCCGCCCCAACGGGGGAGGCCGAAGGGUCCAGGAAGAGGAAGACCCCUCCGCCGAACUACUCCCUCGACGCCGAAGAGGACAAAGAGGAGUGGCCAGAUAGGGCCAAGUGUCCGGCGAAAUCGUAAAUAUUCGGAUAUCAGAGUAACUCAUGACGUUCCUUUGUCGCACAGCUUUCCCUAAUGUCGAACAUAAUUAUGCAGCCCGCCCCGGGCCAAACUCAACGAGUCGUUGAGAGGCUCCCUGGAUUCAUCGGACAUGAACUCAGUUCCGCCCGCUGUCUCCCCCCGCACUGCGGAUGACGCCGAAGUGGUGUCGCAACAAGCUCCGGGGCAAGAGGAGGUGGUCCUGGAGGAGCCACAAGGCGACCUCCCGGACCCCAGGAGUAAAGGGGACAAGACCCCCAGGGCUCCAAGUCCGGCUUUGUGCCGGACACCGCGCUGGAAUCUUCAACAGUUCCAGACCGCGGUAGGCGAACUCCUUCCAAGAGGAGCAAGCCUUCUGAGCCGGCGGCCUCCAUCCAACCGGAGGUGCCGGACAAUCUGCUGGAGGUGCUUGACAGCGCCUCCAUCGACGAGGAGCACCAUACUAUUAUGAGUACGGUGAUCCAGAAGGUUCAGUCCGCCAAGAGCGGACUGAGUGAAGCUUGCACUAGCCUUCUAACAGGCUUUGAGGUAAGUAAAAAAUAUGUAAGAAUAUAACCGCAUAGACAGUAGCCCCUGAUGCUCUGUUUGGCGUUCGGAAAGAAAAGCCGAAUAGAGGAUCUACUAAAUUUCGCAGGAGUCUAACAACAAAGAAUCAAUAUGCGUAUGCAGGCAUCGCUGCUAGCCACCGCCGCACUGACUGCGGAGGUGGGUGCCCUAAAACAGGGACUCGAGCGGACCGAGCAAGAGCUCGGCCUUGCCAAGCGGCAGCUCGAGGAGAAAGAAGGUAAGAAAAUACCUUACAGAAAAAGUGCCUAUAAAAAGACGUGAUUGCAAAAAAUAACAGGAUUGUACUGCUUAUUGUAGGGGCCACGACUGAGGUGGCGACCCUCAAGCAGGCGCUGUCCGAGGCCGAAAAGAAAGCGGCCGCAGAGCGCACCGAGCGAGAGAAACUUGAGGCCCAGGUCGGCGAGGUGCAGCAAGAGCUUCAGGCUCUCAUGAAAAAACAUGAGAGUUUGGAGCUUGAGUCAAAAACGCAAGCAUCCGAGCUUGUGGCGGCCCUUGAGACUACCAAGUCUGCCAAGGCCGAAGCCCAAAAGGCCCUCCAAGAGUUGGAGGAGAUGAAAAAGAUAGCAGCGGGUAAGGCAUUCUUUAUGCAAAGUAGAAAUAUAAAAGUGAACUACUUGUUACUUACCCGAAUCCGGAGCUCUCCAGGGGCAUUCACAGAUCUUCCCCCCAGCGUAUCCGCCGCCGCCGCAUUCUACCGAGCUGAAGAGGGCAGCUCGAUAGAGAAGGUGUUCUGGUCUCAGUACGCUGAGGCCGGACACCCUGUGCCCUUGAGCGACCAGCUGAAGCAGCUGGUCGAGCUCCACAAGGUGGCCGAACAGGCCAUGAAGGGCUUCAUAGUUCGGCUGUGGCCCGGAGAGGCCCUGCCUGGGAGCUACUUCGGGCUGGUGCGGCGGCUGGUGGAGGCCUGUCCAAGGCUCGAGGUCAUCAAGCGCUCCAUCUGCAUCAAAGGUGCCCGUAGGGCCCUUGCCCGUGCAAAGGUGCACUGGGGUAAGCUGGACGAUGAGAAGCUUGUGAGGGACGGGCCGCCGCCGGGGAAGGAGCAUCGCAAGCCCGAGAACUACUAUAAGGAUGUUCUUGCGGGUGCCUGCCUUGUGGCGGAUGAGUGUACCAAGGAUGUAAUUUUUGAAUGAACUCGCUCGUGUUUAUCCUGUGCGCUGAAAACUUGUUCAUAUGCGCUAAGCAAUGCUUGUUGAAUUUAAAAUAUUACUUUCUGUGCGACCGUUUAUCAAAAAAUUGAGAGAUGGCCAGUCGUCGGCUUCUGCCCCCAUGCCACUAGUGCUGGGGUGUUCGGGAUAAACCUGAGCGCUCUUUUUCCCAUAGUUGGGUCCUUCGAGGGAGGCGCUCAGCACAACGAACCAGGCAAUCGGACUAUAAUGCUUGAACACUCUCACUUAGCCAUAGAACUCUAUAAUUUUAAAUUUCGGCGAAGCCCCUAGUUCGGAAGACCGAGUUCGGGGCACUAUCCACACCUUGGCCGGACAAAGCCGGCUCCUCGCUCGAAGCAGCAUAAGUCUUUAGGGACUCGAAAAACCUCUCGAACAGCGACCAGUCUCUCGCCUCAUCAUGACAGUCAGUUUUAGCUUUCUCCACUGAGGUGCUUAACCCAACUCAACUGGGGCACAAUCGCAGUGGUUCUCCUAGUGCUACCUUAGCCGAUAUAGUGGAACGUAAGGCAUCAAAACAUAGGAGCCAGGCAAACCCAACUAUUGACCCAAAUCAUGAUUCGGAGCCGAUGCAUAUAGUGCUAUAAGUUCGGGGUGCUGCACUUGUGAAAGUGUACGGGCUUCUCACACCAUAUUGAGGGGUACUGAAGCCCCUGGCGUUUUUGCCGUACCAUGGUGUACGGGUGCAACAUGUCAUUUAAUAAACAUAUAUAUGAAAGGAGGAUAAUGCAAAAAAUAGAAAAAAAGCUAUGCAUUGUUUAUACGAAGGCUGCUAUCAAAGCAGAAUGAUACAAGUAGUGCGAUAAAAGAUAUUGGGCUAUUUAACAUGUCCUGGCCGGGAGCAGGCCGCGGAAUUGUAUGCCAAAACAGGUAUACUGCUUGUAACAGAGACCACCUGGGAGUUCCAUAAUGCGGCAUGGCUUGUUUGCUUCCCUGGAUCUUGCAUCGUUUGUGCGGCAGUUGAAUUGCCGAACAGGUCGUCCGAAGUAUGGAGUCCUGAAAGUAAGAGAAAAUUAAAAAGAAUUCGGCAGCCCCUGGUAUGUUUUAAGCCGUAUUUUUGGUUUGCCAUUAUUGUGCCCCUUCCCCUGCGCCCAUGGUAUUUCUAGAGCAUAGUUAUGUACGCGAGGCACUGGUUUCGCUAUGUCGCGAGGGCUGGGGUUGGGGCCGCAUUGCUACGCCUGCUCAGAACAUGCCAGGCGGUCUUGUUGUAGGUUACUCCGGGUGCGCUUGGCAGUGUGUGGCUUUUUAACGGCCGGACUGGAGAAUUGCCUAAGAAGGCUGCUUUGUACUUUUGCUGCGAGGGCCGCCGUGUGCUCCUCCGUACGCAGGGAGCGUUCGGUGUUUCCGUUGUCCGUGAUUACUCCUCGAGGGCCUGGCAUCUUGAGCUUGAGAUAUGCGUAGUGCGGUACCGCAUUGAACUUUGCAAAUGCGGUUCGCCCGAGCAGGGCGUGAUAGCCACUGCAAAACGGGACUAUAUCGAAGAUUAACUCUUCGCUUCGGAAAUUGUCCGGAGACCCGAAGACCACUUCAAGUGUUACUGAGCCUAUACAGUUGGCCUCUACACCUGGUAUAACGCCUUUAAAGGUUGUUUUUGUGGGCUUAAUCCUCGAGGGAUCUAUGCCCAUUUUCCGCACUGUAUCCUGGUAAAGCAGGUUCAGGCUACUUCCGCCGUCCAUGAGGACUCUUGUUAGAUGAAAUCCGUCGAUAAUUGGGUCGAGAACCAAUGCGGCGAAGCCGCCGUGACGGAUGCUAGUGGGGUGGUCCCUUCGAUCAAAAGUGAUAGGGCAGGAGGACCAUGGGUUGAACUUUGGGGCGACUGGCUCCAUCGCGUAUACGUCCAGUAGCGCACGCUUCCGCUCCCUCUUGGGAAUGUGGGUUGCGUAUAUCAUGUUCACCGUCCGCACUUGUGGGGGAAAACCCUUCUGUCCACUGUUGUUCGGCGGCCUGGGCUCCUCCUCGUCAUCGCUAUGCAGCCCCUUGUCUUUAUUUUUGGCUCUUAGCUUGCCUGCCUGCUUGAACACCCAACAAUCCCUGUUGGUGUGAUUGGCUGGCCUUUCGGGGGUGCCAUGUAUCUGGCACAAGCGGUUGAGUAUUCGGUCCAAACUGGACGGGCCCUGAGUAUUCUUUUUGAAUGGCUUUUUCCGCUGACCGGAUUUAUAGCCUCUGAAUCCGGCAUUAACUGCCGUGUCUUCGUUGCUGUCGCUGCUAACGCGGCGCUUUUGCUUAUUCCGAUGUGUCCUGCCACUUUUGUCCUUGGUAUCCGAAUUACCAGGGUUCUUUGCUAAGUUAUUACUGCGAGCUAGCCAGCUGUCUUCUCCCGCGCAAAAGAGGGUCAUGAGUGUCGUGAGGGCUGCCAUGGACUUCGGCUUUUCCUGUCCCAGGUGCCGGGCGAGCCACUCGUCGCGGAUGUUAUGCUUGAAGGCUGCUAGGGCCUCUGCAUCCGGACAGUCGACUAUCUGUUUUUUCUUUGUUAGGAACCGUGUCCAGAAUUGCCUGGCCGAUUCCUCUGGCUGCUGAAUUAUGUGGCUUAAGUCAUCGGCAUCCGGUGGUCGCACAUAAGUGCCCUGGAAGUUGUCAAGGAAUGUGGCUUCCAGGUCCUCCCAAGAACCGAUUGAGUCUGCUGGCAAGCUGUUAAGCCAAUGCCGGGCCGGUCCCUUAAAUUUGAGCGGGAGGUAUUUGAUGGUGUGUAGAUCAUCGCCGCGAGCCAUGUGGAUGUGUAGGAGAUAAUCCUCAAUCCAUACCGCAGGAUCUGUUGUUCCAUCAUAUGAUUUGAUGUUUACGGGUUUGAAACCCUCUGGGAUUUUAUGAUCCAUUACUUCGUCUGUGAAGCAUAAUGGGUGCGCCUCUAUACUGGGCUAUAUCACGACGCAGCUCGAAGGAGCUAUGUCUAUUGUGUUCGGCCCGUCCGGAUUUGUUGUAUCCGGAAUGAAGAUCACCGUCACGUGGCGUGGGGCGCCUGCGUGAUCCGUAGAUCGAUCUUGUUUGUCUUGCCUUGUCCUCCAGUACGUCUCACAGGUCUGGCGCAUUUUCCCGUGCCUUGGUUGAAUGGCGCCGGGACAUGGCUUGGGUGGAGGGCCGAGAGGCCUCUCUGUCGCGGCCGCGAGGUGGCCGGUCGGCCAUGUCAUGCGCUGGUGAUGUAGGUGCUUCCUCCUCUAAUCGGGGUAGCGGCCUGCGCUUUGGGUAACUCUUGGAGGGGCGUUCGAGUUCAUACUCUGUGGCUGCAAGGACUUCAGUCCAUCUGUCAGCUAGCAAAUCUUGAUCAGCUCUAAGCUGUUGCUGUUUUUUCUUGAGGCUACUUGCCAUGGCUAAAAGCCUGCGUUUGAGACGCUCUUGUUCGGCAGGGUCCGAUGGUACGAUGAAUUCGUCGUCAUCGAGGCUUGCCUCGUCUUCGGAGGGAGGCAUAUAGUUAUCAUCCUCAACCUCUCGGUCUGCCGCUCUCUCAUGAGGGCUGGCUUCUCCAUCUUCCUGUGCCGAAUCUUGCUGUGGGGGGUGUUCUUUGGCGCUAUUCGGGGUAGUAUUAUCUCCCGUGCCGGAAUCACCGUUUUCGCUUUGUUGGAUUUAGAGCGGCGCCGCUGACGCCGGCGCUUUGGCUGUUUCUUGGAGGUGUCAUCCUCCGCUAUUCCAUCGCCAUCUCCAUCUUUUGGAGUAUCCACCAUGUAUAUAUCAUAUGACGAGGUGGCCUUCCAGCGCCCUACAGGUGCUGGUUUCUAUUCGUCUCCUGCAUCGUCGUCCAUACCGUCGAUGUCUUCGGAGUCGAAGUCAAGCAUGUUGGUUAAAUCGUCGACAGUGGCUACAAAGCGGGUGGUGGGUGGGCUUCGAAUUUCUUCGUCGUCCGCAUCCCAUCCUUGCUGACCGUAGUCCGGCCAUGCCUCUCCUGAUAAAGAGAGAGACUUUAGUGAGUUCAGGAUGUCGCCGAAGGGCGAGUGCUGAAAGAUGUCCGCUGCGGUGAACUCCAUUAUCGGCGCCCAAUCAGAUUCGAUCGGUAGGGGCGCGGGGGGUUCGGAGUCCGGAGAGGAAUCUGGAUCCUCGGAGUCACGAGUCACGCAGAACGCGGGGUUGACGUUCGGCUCGAUCGCCUUUGAGAUCGUAGCCCCUAAGGUGACGUCCAGCCGCUCAUCCUCGAUUGGCGCAAUAGGCUCCGGAUUAAGGGUAGGAACCGGUGCGUGUGCGGCCUCCAGGGCACUGUUCGGCGGUAGGGCAAGAUCAUGCCUCUCAAAACAGUGCAACGCGCUUGGCUGUGGCUCGAAUCCGUCGAAGAUCAAAUCCCCGCGGAUGUCUGCCGUGUAGUUUAAGCUUCCAAACCUGACCUGAUGGCCAGGGGCAUAGCUUUCGAUCUGCUCCAGGUGGCCAAGUGAAUUGGCCCGCAGUGCGAAGCCGCCGAAGACGAAGAUCUGUCCGGGGAGAAAAGUCUCACCCUAGACCGCAUCGUUGUUGAUGAUCAAAGGAGCCAUCGGGCCUAAAAGUGACGACACAGAGGAACUCUCAAUGAAAGCACCAAUGCCUCAAGACCAGGACCUUCAAGAAGAAGCUGGAGGCCCGCGGCAGGGGCUGGCACGAUGAGCUCCAGUCCGUGCUGUGGUCCAUCCGCACCACCGCUACCAAGCCAACGGGCGAGACUUCGUUCUUCCUCAUCUACGGAGCUGAAGCAGUCCUCCCUCACGAGGUCAAGCAUCGCUCCGCGCGGGUCCUGGCGUUCGAUGAAACGCAGCAAGACGCCAUGCGGGGAAUGGAUCUCAUGCUGGGGGAGGAACGUCGUCGCGAGGCUGCAUUAAGGGCGGUAAGGUACUAGCAAGCGCUGCGGCGCUACCACUGCCGCAACAUUCGCUCCAGGACGCUCGAGACAGGUGACCUAGUCCUGAGGCGGGUCCUCUCCAGGGAAGGGUUGCACAAGCUUUCACCCAUGUGAGAGGGCCCGUUCAGGGUCGUCCACAUCUCUAGGCCUGGCGCCGUGCGCUUGGAGACGCAAGAGGGGACACCUAUCCAAAACGCCUGGAACAUCCAACACCUCCGGAAGUUCUACCCAUGAAGCAAGGCCCAGAACCUGUGAAGCAAGGCCCAAAGCCUGUGAAGCAAGGCCCAGAGCCUGUGAAGAAAGGCCCUGAGCCUGUGAAAAAGGCCCAGAGCCUGUGAAGCAAGGCCCAGUGCCUAUGAAUAAUUGCCGCCCGUGACACUCUCACGUAAUAAUGAGUUAGGGCUGUACACGCCCCGGAGUCUCAGGAGCGCCGGCCUCAGUAUAACGCCCUCGAUGCGGCUAUAUCUCCGCAUCCGUAGCUCCAUUUUGGGCGUGUAGCUUAUCAAAAUGUUCAUCUCAGAGAGCACAUCAUUUCAUCUCAUUGCAUCAUUUUCAUUUGAGCUCAUCUUGAUGCCCGAAAUGCUGUUGGAAGAGAGCUAUUUGAGUUAAUUGUCAGAUCUGCUGCACCAAAUAGCUAUUUGUCAUUUUUGCCAUGAUUAUUGUGUGCAUGAUAUGCUCCUGAGCUCUACAUGUGUUUUGUUAUAUACUUUGCCAUCUUUGCAGAGGUGCUAUCCAUGUAUUUUUGUGAUGUGUGUGGUGACUAGCACAAGCUUGCAAAGUAGUGCAUUUGUUAAUGCUGAUUUUAGGGACUUAGAAAUAUCACUAAGUCCUUGAUCUGUUUUUAUCAAUAUGCCAUAUGUUCAUGUUGUUUUCUAGUGAUCAGUGCCUCUUUUGAGGAUGAUCAGUAAGGAUGUUUUGUUAAUCUCGUGGUGCUCUAUCCAUCCAUGUCUUUGUUUGCAAUCAUGGAGCACCCUAGCUUGAGUCAAUCGAGCUCUACUUUUGCUAUUUCAUAAUUCCUGGCAGAUUGUCUACUUGUUAGCGAUUUUCCCGAGGAUGUUGUUGUUGAUCCGUGCAUGCUAUGUUGUUGUUCUUGCCAUGUAUAACUUACUUAAUGUGUAUUCUUAAUGGGUGUAUGCUUAGAUUGUCAUGCCUUUCUCUGUAGUGAGUGCAUCAAGCUCGUAAACAUGCCUACUUGUUAACAGAUUUGCAUGUCCCAGUUUUUCACUAAGUCUGAGAUCUGAUUAUGUUUUUGCCAUGUUCACAUGCUUGCAAUUGUAUUUUAGGAUCCCUUUUGGCUCAAGGUCACUAAGGGACUUUUGUUAAGGUCUUUGAGUAGCUCCAUGCCAUGCUUUACUUUGCCAUGUUAAAUUCGUGUAGAUUAUAGUUUUCAUGCUCCAAAGUGUGCUACCUGAUCUAAAAUUCCAGGCUUGUGUUAAUUUCAGUAAGUCUGAAAUCUGUUUACCGUUUGCAUUUUUGCUAUGCUUGUUUGAACCUAUUAAUGGAUGAAUUGGCCGUAGCUCAGUGUUCCUCUUUUGUCAAGCAUCAUGAGUGGAUCCCUGCCAUGUAUUUUGUUGUCAUGUUUGAGUGCUGUAGCAUAAUUAACGUGUUGCAUUUAGGUGGCUACUUGCCGUUUAUCGCAGACCGGUGCCAUUUUUGUUUUGCUUGCCAUUUCCAAACCAUGUCUCCGAUUCCGGUGUUCUUUAUAUCGAAUUCAAGCGAAAUCACCUCACCUUUCUAGUGGCACACUUGGAUUUCCAAGUUGAGGCCAGGUUCUAUCAUUCCUUGUUAAUCUUGCAUAUGCAUCACAUACCGCAUCCCGCAUAGCAUACCAUGUUUGCAUCUUGUUGUUUGAGCAUUGCAUGUGGUUGAUUGCGUCCUUUUUGCUUGUUUGUCUUGUUUGGGUAGAGUCGGGAGACGAGUUCGCUAACGAGGAGCCCGUUGAGUUUGCUUUCGAGGAUCCAGUCAACUCUGACAACUUUGCAGGCAAGAUGACCACACCCUCGAAAUCACUUCUAUCUUUGCUUUGCUAGAUGCUCGCUCUUUCGCUAUGCCUAUGCUACGAUGCCUACCACUUGCUUAUCAUGCCUCCCAAAUUGCCAUGUCAAACCUUUAACCCACCAUGUCCUAGCGAACCGUUGAUUGGCUAUGUUACCGCUUUGCUCAGCCCCUCUUAUAACGUUGCUAGUUGCAGGUGAAGAUUGGAGACCGUUCCUUGUUGGAACAUUAUUUUCUUGUUGGGAUAUCACUAUAUUAUCUUGUUAUAUUAAUGCCUCUAUAUAUUGGUAAAGGGUGGAAGGCUCGGCCUUUUGCCUAGUGUGUUGUUCCACUCUUGCCGCCCUAGUUUCCGUCAUAUCGGUGUUAUGUUCCCGGAUUUUGCGUUCCUUACGCGGUUGGGUAAUAAUGGGAACCCCCUGACAGUUCGCCUUGAAUAAAACUCCUCCAGCAAUGCCCAACUUUGGUUUUACCAUUUGCCACCUAGCCUUUUUCCCUUGGGUUUCGCGGACUCAAGGGUCAUCUUUAUUUUAACCCCCCCGGGCCAGUGCUUCUCUAAGUGUUGGUCCAACCGAGCGAUGUCCGGGGCUACCAGGGGCAACUCUGGGCUGGCCUACCCGACGUCUUGCUCAUCGGUGUGCCCUGAGAACGAGAUAUGUGCAGCUCCUAUCGGGAGUUGUCGGCACAUCUGGGUGGUGUUGCUGGUUUAGUUUUAACUUGUCGAAGUUGUCUUGUAGAACCGGGAUACCGAGUCUGAUCGGAAUGUCUCGGGAGAAGGUAUAUCCUUCAUUGACCGUGAGAGCUUGUCAUGGGCUAAGUUGGGACUCCCAUGCAGGGAUUUGAACUUUCGAAAGCCGUGCCUGCGGUUAUGGGCAGAUGGGAAUUUAUUAAUGUCCGGUUGUAGAUAACUUGAACCUUAACUUAAUUAAAAUGAAUCAACUGAGUGUGUUACCGUGAUGGUCUCUUCUCGGCGGAGUCCAGGAAGUGAACACGGUGUUGGAGUAAUGUUUGCCGUAGGUUGUUCUCUAGUUCUUCGUUCGUGCUUUGCUUUCUCUUCUCGCUCUCUUUUGCGAAUAGGUUAGCCACCAUAUAUGCUAGUCGCUUGCUGCAGCUCCACAUAUAACCUUGCCUUACUUAUAAGCUUAAAUAGUCUUGAUCGCGAGGGUGUGAGAUUGCUGAGUCCCCGUGGCUCACAGAUUACUUCCAAACCAGAUGCAUGGCCCGAUGACUCCGUUCCAGAUGAUGCGCUUGAGCUCAAGUGGGAGUUCGACGAAGACUCACGUGUUACUAUGUGUCUUUCCCCGAUGAUCAGUAGUGGUGCCCAGUUGGGGCGAUCGGGACCAUGUCGCAUGUUGGGGUUGAUCUUUUAUUUUGGUACCGUAGUCGGACCAUGAGUGUAUUGGUUGAUGUAAUGCUAUUUAUGUACUUUGUGUGACGUGGCGAGUGUAAGCCAACUAUGUACCUUUCCCUUUAUUACCUAUUUACAUGGGUUGUUGUGAAGAUUACCUUACUUGCGACAUUGCUUUCAAUGCGGUUAUGCCUCUAAGUCGUGCUUCGACACAUAGGAGAUAUAGCUGCAUCGAGGGUGUUACACUCAGGCCCUGGGGCUCCCUCCCAUGCCUAGUGGACAUCACUUAGCUCCGCGCUGGUGAGAAGACUUGAAGACUAGAUUAGGUGCCAGACGCGGAUUUUCAUUUGCUUUCCGUAGUUGGCUUGCUUCUCCUUAAUCGAGUUUGCCUUUGGCGUUCCUUGCUGAUUUGGUUCCUUCGCCUUUUACCGCGUUUUUCGGCUCUGGUUUACUCGUGAUCUCUCUCUCGCAUACCUCGCGAGGGGGCUAGGCAGGUGCCCUCACGAGCUUUUUUCUUCUCUCUUCCUUCUCGCGAGUCACCCUCGUUCGAGCCUGGAAGCUGGCGCAUCUCUCCUAAUCCGUGCCCCUCGGGUACCGUGAUGCAAAGCGCCAAGUCAAGAUUUGGGUGAACGGCAAAUCCUCUAGCGCACCCCCUAACGAUUUUUUUGCAGUUCCUGAGCAAACACAGACAUCUCGUGAAGGAAAGGGCGUCCCAAACGCGCCAGGUUAGGUUAUCUCUACGCAAAAUAACAACACGACAUGGGGAUAACACGCACGUUGCAUUGACCAAGAACCACCGUUCGAUACACGCCCCUCUGGGCCCAUACUGGUUUCAUUUUCUGAUGCAGGAAAAGAAAGGAAAAAUCCAAACAAAGCGGCGUUUUAGCAAUCCGCGGGGGCAGGCCCUUAGCGACGCCCAAGCCUAGCCAGACCCCUCCUCGCGCUUCACGGAGGCGCGACGACGAGAUGACCCGCUGCCUCCUUCGAAGCGGGCGCGGCGGCUGGUCGUAGACACUGCCGCUGGAUCUGUCACAGGAGGGAGAGCCUCCGUAGCUGGAAGAGACGCGGUCGCUGCCGAGGGCAGGCUCGCCCCCAUCCUCGUCGCGACCGUCACCAAGGCCGAGCACCUCCUCACCGUCGUUCGUCUCAGGGCAACACCCAGCGCGGCGACCAUCUUCCCUGAACACCCUCACAUAGAGGGUCAACCCAUCGUCAUACUUGAAGUGGAGUGUGCACCGCCUGCCUAGGCCGCGCGCGCGGGCGAACGUCUGCCAGCCGCGGGCCAGGGCUAUGUUGCCCGCGGCGGAAGUCUCGACCGCGACCCAGGAGGCCUGGCUGCAGCAACCAUCCGCCUGCAACCAGAGCCCGCCUGGACCAGGGGCCGACAGUUCAUCGAUGAGGAAGCGCGGAAGCUGGAGCCAGUUGCCGGCUGGGUUCUCCGACCAGACAAUGAACUCCGACGACACCUCCGCUGAAUGGAAGCACGGGCGAGGAGGCCGCGCCACCAUCGUGCGCCUCCCCUCGUCAGCUGUGCCGCCAUGGUUGGGACGGUCCCCUCCGCGUGCCGUGGCGCCGCCUCGACGGUGGGCCACGACGGGGGUCGCAGCGUGCUUGUGCGGACGGCCACGACCGCGCUUGGGCACCGGGGAACCAGGGCCCUUGCGAGGGGCCUUCCUCUUCUCGGCGGCAGAGAACUUCCUUCGUGGCGCCACCGGAGGCACUACAAGCAAUGAAGCAAAGAAGAAGCGAGCAAGCGAGGAAGAGAUGGGCAACGGGGGCUCCGCCCCCUUCCCAUUUAUAGCAAGACAAGGCCAACCGGCGUCUCCCACGAUCGCAGGUAAUGAUGGUUUCCCUUGCAUGUUGCAGGGACUCAUCAAGUCGUGCAGUCGUCGAGGCAGCGUGGGGAAGCGGAGACGCCCACGGCCAAUCAACCGCCACGCGUCAACCGAGGCCGCAAGCUUUUGGGGCCCGCGAUGCUUCGAGCUUGACCAUUGGCUUCGCCGCGAAGCCAAGCCCGCGCGCACCUUGGGCCCGGGGGCUACUGUCGGCGUUCUGGGAACGGGGGUCCCCAGACUUGCCUGUCUGCAGCCCGCGGCGUGGCUGAGCCAACGGGCCAUACGACCCGUCUUCACCAACCAAGCAUCCAAGACCCUCGCGAGGGGACAAGGCUCGCGAGGCGGACGACGCAAGACCUCCUCUGGAGUGGCCUAGCAAGGCAGGCUCACGAGGAGCGGAGAUAUCAAGGCGAGGCGAACCUCACGAGGCUCUCGUGACGUGAGCCAUGACGAUCGACACCAGGCGGGCGCCAGCGCGUGCAGCGUCCUUAUUUCCCCUUUGGUGCAAAGGGGGCAAGCGCAGCCGCGGAGUACCGAGGCCUCAGGCAAAGGUUGCCAUUUCGGUGCAACAAGACCAAGACCAUGGACUUCAAUACGGAGGUCAUCGUGGAGCCCAAAACAGCGUCACCAUCAGAGCUUUGUGCAGGCGAAGACUACUUUUGUCAGGAUAGCUUGUACUAACUGUCCCCCUUCAAAUUAGCCCGCCAUUGUUGGCUCCCUUUCCGCUCGAUAUUUGUGAAGAGGACCAGGGCCUCUAUAAAUAGGACUAGCCACCUCAGUGGAUGGGAGGAUCUCAUCUUGGCUUGAGAGAACCUACACACCACAAGUCCGAAAGCACAAGAACCCCUCAACCUCAGGAGGCUGUUCUUCCCUUGUAUUGUUCAUCAUCAGCCCAAGAGGCAAUCCACCACCACCACACUGGAGUAGUGUAUUACACCACAACGGUGGCCCGAACCAAUAUAAACCCCGUGUCUUUCUGUGUUGUGAGUUCGUCGAGUUCGUUCGCAAGAUCUUAGCGAGCUAGAGCGUAGAUCGGUAGGAGGGAAAGACUUCGCGCGCACCCCAGUGUUCGAACCUUAAGGGUUUGCCGGAGCCCCACAUCCGACAGCGUCUCCUAUCCACCAUGAGUGAGCAGUGGACCGUCACUGAGAUAGGAUUGACUGACCUCUGCAAGCUGGCCAAUGCUGAUGACAUUCACAAGUAUACUCAGCUGGAUAUAUAGGCAAGGGUUUUCCUCUUCUCCAGUAUGUCUAGAGAUGAGUUUAGGCACAUCAUGCCUCUUUGCGAUGCGAAGCUCAUCUGGGACCGAAUCUCUGAUGUCUAUGAAGGGCACCGUACUUGUCAGGAUCCCUGGUUCCUCGAAUUCAAGGUGUCACUCAAAAUGACGACUUUCGAUCAUGAUUCAUCUUCGUCAGCAUCGUGCCUCAUGGCCAAGGGCACCAAGGUACUCAACCGUUCUUCAUCUUUUUCAAGUGAAGAUGAAUCUGAUGAAAAUAUGACUCCUAGCUAUUCCGAACUUGCUAAUAUUUCCACAAGGCAACAAACUGUUAUGGAACGAAUUCAAAACUUCCUUGAUGAAAGUGAUGAUCUGUUGAAUGAUGAAAUGGAACACACUCAAUCUCUGACUGAUGACCUUGAGCAUCUUCAGUCAAAGUAUGACGAACCUAAAGUCGUCAUGUGGCCCUCUGUAACACCCCGAGUGUCAUGCCACAAUAAACUAAUACUAAUGGUACCAUGUCAUCACAAUUAAUUUUUUCUAAUCAUCACUUUGUUCCAAACCGACCGCAAAUUCAAAUUUAAAUUACAUUUAAAUUAUUUUUUCUUCUAACAGUGAAACAAAAAUGUUUACCAUAUGCCAUAAAAUCCCCAAGUAUUCGUAAUAAUAGUGUCAGCUCCAUUUGGAUGUCCAAAUUGUCCCUGGAUAUUAAUUUAGUGGACGAGCAACCAUUUAACCGCUCGUUUAAAUCCCUAGAAAUGUUUAAACGUUUCCAAAUGCCCUGAGACUUUUAGUAGAGCACCACAAUAUUACAAUCGAAUUGUGUCCCAAGUUUCAACCCGGAAAAAAAUCAUUUAGUACAGAAGCGAAAUGCAAAGUUGAGGCAAAAUGCAAAAUAGAAAAUAGAAAAUGAGGAAACAGCUAACGAACUACUAUGCCCAUGGGCCUUAGUUGUACAGUGCACUAGCCCAACCCAAUGGGGGUCAUCCCUUUCCCCUGUACAGGACAGAGGGCGUGGCAGCCAUCCGGCCAACAUGGCCGCGCCCUGUCCACGUGCCGGCCAUCCCGCAGUCCCACGGUGGAUAAGACGUUGCCGCGAUCCCUCCCAGCAACCCUAGCUCCAUUCCCCUCUUUUCCUCGCGCUGCCAUCAUCUUCCCACGCUCGGCCGAACCACCGUCAGCAUGACCCCUGUCGAUGCCGCGACCACCGUCGUCCCGUCGCCGAGCUAAGGCGUCCGUCGGCUCUGCUGUCGUCCGCCGCAUCUCCUACGACCAACCAGUUGUGCUGGGAGCCCAUGCAUCGCCGAAUUCGCCAUCGUCUUCAGCCCUCGGCCACCGGCGUAUCCAUGACGAUUGUCGCCGUUCUACUGCUCUUAGUCAUCACCGGGCCUCCUUGUGCCUCCUCGUGAGCUUCACCUCACUACCCCUCUGCUAGCUAGCUUCUACACCCAAGCAAUGUUCCCCCCACCCCGGCCAUGACCGGAGCCCGACCUCCCGUAUACGCUCUGCUGCUGCUCUCCACUGCCUGCUGCUGAUUGCUGUCGCCGCCACUACUGCCGCGUGUGCCCUGGUCGCGCUCGCCCGUGCAUGUCCGUGCCUGCCGCCGCUGCUUCGUGCUAGGCCGCUGGAGCUCGCUCCGCCUGCGCUCCCCUUUGGCCGGUAGCACGUCCCUACCCGCGCUCGCCGCGCCCGCGCCGCGCGUUAGGCCGUGCCCCGCCUCUGUGGCUCUACUGCUGACGCCCGAGCCCGCCCGCGCCUGCCUCGCCCCGCGGCUGCUCCUGCCGUGCCCCGUGCCCAGCCGGUGCCCCGCUACUGUACGGCUCCCCCUUGCGAGCCCCCCACCCCCCGCAAGUCGUAGCUCCAGCCGCGCGGCGGCGCCCGUGCGCUCUAUGUGCGUGUGUGUGUGUGUUUGGGGCCAACCCCCUCCCCUUUUAAUUAGGACUAACCAUGAUUAGUGCUAACCCCCCACCUCUAAUAGUCUCUAACACAGGGGUCCACCACGCAGGAAAACGCUAAGGCGACGGGAGGCGAUUGCAUGGCGAUCGUCUACUGCUGCUAGGGUUAGGGUUUGAGCUGCGGGGGUGAGAGCGGAUACGGUGGUUCACGUGGACGGCGACUGCGCAGUCCUCGCGACCGACCGACGAUCUUCCUCCUUCGCUGUUGACGGAGUCGAUGGCGGAGAAGGUUGGGGAGAAGGAGGCUAGGGUUUUGGGACAGAUGGGAUCGUCAUCGACGGCGGCCACCCCGAAGAAUCAUAACAACGCUACGGGGCCGGCAGGCGGGGCGAAUCAGAAGAAAUCCUCAGGUCCUGCCAGCAACGCAUUGGGCUCGGGGAAGGCACACCAGAAAUCGGCGAACGCUUCGCGGGGGGAUGCAGAGGCACUGGCCUCGGGCAGGAAGGAUACCCCGACGACCGAGGGCAAGGGCAUGUCGACGCCGCAACGCAAGGGUGAUGGCACGGCAAGCCGGACCUCCUCUAAAUCACCAGUGGAAAGUAAGACGCCAGACCCUACGUCGAGCCUGUCGGCGAGACUUGGGGGCAUGGUUCUAAUGGACAAGGAGGUGGAGGGGUUCGUGUUCAAGGAACCGGAGAAGGCAAGCACGAGGAAUUUCCGCUGGUCAGCUGUUGGCAAGGUCUGCUCUCCGCGGCCGAUGAUCAUGAGUGCGGUCGAGCGAGCUAUGCAACGGGCUUGGGGAUUGCACAAAGUAGCCAAGUUUGUGGACUUGGGAUCCAACAUCUUUGAGGUUCACUUUGGGAGCGAAGGAGACUGGAAACACGCAAUGAACAACGGACCUUGGCAGUACGAUUUUAGCGUGCUAAUCCUGAAGGAGUACGAAGGGAAGAUCAGACCGUCAUAGAUGGUUUUCGACAAGACUGAUGUGUGGGUUCGGGUGGAUGAUUUACCACCGGAGAGGAGGACGGAAUCUUUUGGGAGAGCUCUUGGGAACUGGUUGGGAGAGAUCGUUCGGGUGGAUACUGACAAAGAUGGCAUUGCAAAGGGACGAUAUCUAAGAGUAAGAGCAAAGAUCAAUGUGUAUGAACCUUUGGUGAGGGGCUUUAAUCUCAAAACAUCACGAGAUGAUAAGAAGGGCACAUGGUUUGAUUUCUUCUACGAGAAGGUGCCGCACUUCUGUUUCGAUUGUGGGCGAAUGGUCCAUGCAGAAGGAAUUUGUGCUCCCCCUAUGGAUGCGUCCCAACAGUGGGGUGGAUGGCUGAGGGCAUCCCCGGGGAGGCAGAGUGGUGCAAAGGGAGGCUCUCAGGGGCCAAUGGGGAGCAGUAAUAGCUGGGACAGUAGACGUACGGGCGACAGCGACCCAAGGCGUCAGACCAACCAUGACAAGGCUUAGGCUCCAACAAAACGAAACCUGCAGGAGGAGUUUGCUAGAUCGGAUGGAGCUCGCACUGGCGGGGCUGCCAAAGUCGAUCGUGGUGAAGUUACUAGCCCGCUGAAGGAUAAAUUUAAGUAUGAACGCAGGGAAGGGCAUGACCUCAGGCGGGAUCUAGAACAGAAGAGGGAAGAGGACCUGCGGAAUAAAUUACAAGAACAACAACGCUUGGCAAGCAGUUCUAGAGACAGAAGGGAGGACAGGCGGGAUGACUCGGGAGGGAUCCAUGUUGGGCAUGCUAGGGGGGAUAUGAGAAGAGGUGAGGAACCUUUUGACAUGGAGAGACUUGGCGACAGAGGCGGAAGGAGGAGGGGUCAUUUUGUCAGGAAACCCAGGCAGGAAUACCGUCCGGUUCAGCAGGGCUAUUAUCAACCAAGAUUUGAAUAUGAAGGUAGGAAGAGAGGACCGAGGCAAUACUGGGUGGCAAAGAAUGAUCCGGACAGGCAAAUGACAAGUGAUGAGUUCAUCCGAGAUACGAGAAGGAAGACUUCCAAUGUGUUCGAUAGGCUAUCGGAAAACAAUGAUCCAUCGGCGGACCCCGACGAGGGGGGCCGCCGGACGCCAUGAAUUACUUAGCCUGGAACUGUCGAGGCUUUGGGUUGGACUCGACAGUUGGCGAACUCAGGGACCUGAUACGGUCAUACAACCCAGCGGUGGUGUUUUUGUCAGAAACUAAGAAGAAGGCGAGAGCAAUGGAGAAGCUGAAGUGGAGUUUGGAGUUCAGAAGCGGUGUUGCGGUAGAUUGUCAAGGUUUGAAUGGGGGGUUGGCUCUAUGGUGGAGAGAAACUGUGCAAGUUAACAUUAGGCCGUGGUGCCAAUAUUUCAUAGACGCGGAAAUGACUUGGGAAAACAAAACCUAUAGAUUCACUGGUUUCUAUGGGGAGCCCAAGACGGAAUUACGCAAGAAAUCAUGGGACGCAAUCAGAUUUCUGAGAGCACAAGAUGACUUGCCCUGGAUUUGUGUUGGGGACUAUAAUGAAGCUCUCUUCCAAACAGACCAACUUGGUGGUAAUCAGCGUCCUUUUGCACAAAUGGAGGACUUUAGAGAUUGUUUAGCGGAUUGCGGUUUAGCAGAUUUGGGGUUCUCAGGCUACCCAUACACAUGGGAUAAUAAACAUGAUGGGACGGAGAACGUCAAGGUACAAUUGGAUAGAGCCACCUGUACAGAUAAAUUUCUGGAGCUCUUUCCGGAAACACAUGUGGAACAUCUAGUCAUGGAGGAAUCAGAUCAUCAAGCCAUUUUGGUUAGAGCGUUGGAGACGGCUCCACGCGCCAAAGACGGAGGCCCGAGACCCUUUCAGUUUGAAGAGGCAUGGACAAGGCAUGAGCAGUAUGACACUAUGGUUACACAGGCCUGGUUAGAAGCUGAUACCGAAGAAAAUACGGUUGCGGCGGUGUGGGAAAAGUUGAGCAGGUUGACUGGAAGCAUGCAGCGUUGGGCACAUGUGGUGUUUGGGUCAAUCAGGCGGCAAAUAGCAAAACUUAAGACGCAGUUAGCUGAAGCUCGCAGCAGAGAAGAUAUCUCGGGUACCUCACUGGAGGUUCAAGAGAUAGAAAAACAGCUACGAGAAAUCUAUGCGCGGGAAGAGCUGCUGUAUAGACAGCGAUCACGCGUGGACUGGCUACGGGCGGGAGACCAGAAUACUAAACAUUUUCAGAAUAGGGCGUCGCACCACAAGAGGAAAAAUACCAUACGAGCCCUACGCAGGGAUGACGGUUCAAGAUGCACGGUAGAUGAGGAUAUGAGGGAGUUGGCAGCCCGGUUUUAUGAGUCUUUGUUUACCUCAGAAGGAUCGGUGGAUGCGCAUGCAAUUCUGGAUAACAUUGAUCACCUAGUUUCGGAUGAGAUGAAUACCAAGUUAACAUCCACUAUCUCAGACGAGGAAAUCGAAGCAGCGCUGUUCCAGAUGGGACCGACGAAGGCACCGGGUCCGGACGGGCUACCCGCCCUCUUUUACCAAAGACACUGGUCAAUGGUGAAGGGUGAUGUAUGUACGGUAGUUUAGGAUUUUCUUAAUGGGGCCUUGACCCCCUCUGAGUUCAAUGACACGAUUAUCGUCAUGAUACCAAAAGUUAACUCACCGGAGUUACUUUCGCAAUUUCGCCCGAUCAGCCUAUGUAACAUUUUGUACAAGAUAGCCACCAAGGUAUUGGCAAACAGGUUGAAGGGCAUCCUUCCUCUCCUCAUCUUUGAAGAACAGAGUGCUUUUGUGCCUGGGCGUCUGAUUACAGAUAAUGUGUUGGUGGCAUAUGAGUGUGUACAUGCGAUAAGGAACAGGAAAAGAAAGAAGAGUUUGUGUGCGAUUAAGUUGGAUAUGAUGAAAGCGUAUGAUUGGGUCGAAUGGGUCUUCCUUGAGAUGAUUAUGACACGUUUCGGGUUUGACCCCUAGUGGGUUUCCAUGAUAAUGAGAUGUGUCACCUCAGCUCGGUUUUCGGUUAAGUUAAAUGGUGGACUCUCCAGAAGGUUUACACCGUCUCGAGGUUUAAGACAGGGAGAUCCAUUGUCACCAUAUUUGUUUUUGUUUUGUGUGGAGGGCUUUUCAGCUUUACUCAAGAAGGCUCAAACCGACAAACAGUUGUCGGGUGUGAAGUUUGGGAGCACUGGCCCCCAUGUAACCCAUCUUUUGUUCGCUGACGAUAGCAUAGUGUUUCUGGAGGGAACCAAGGAGAACAUGCAUACCUUAAAACAGAUUCUGGAGAAGUAUGAAAAAGCGUCGGGACAAAAGGUAAACCUGCAGAAAUCCUCAAUCUUUUUUGGUAAAGGAAGCCAAGGAGAGAUGAAGGAACAGAUGAAGCGGAUUAUGGGGAUUCAGUCCGAAGCGCUUAGUGAAUGGUACUUGGGACUCCCAACACUGGUUGGCAGGUCCAAGGAUGGUACUUUUAAACAUGUAACAGAGUGCGCUAAGGGCAAAGUGGGGGGUUGGAAGGGGCAAGGUUUGUCCAAAGCAGCUAGAGAAGUACUCGUCAAAUCCGUUUUGCAGGCGACACCGACCUAUACCAUGAGUUGUUUUCACCUCUCGAAGAAGAUGUGCCGGAACCUGACUUCAAUCUCGUCCAAAUUCUGGUGGGGUGCAACGAAUGGUGAGAGAAAGGUCCAUUGGAUCGCUUGGAAGAAGAUGUGUGCGAGCAAGAGGGAUGGGGGCAUGGGGUUUCGCGACCCCGAGGCUUUCAACCAAGCAUUGUUGGCGAAGCAGGCAUGGCGUAUUCUCCAAGUCCCAACUUCUCUAUGCGCUCGAGUUCUUAAAGCGAGGUAUUUCAAAGAUGAUUCUGUCUUAUGUGCUUCAUGCCCAUCUUCGGGCUCUUUUACCUUCAGAAGCAUCUUGCAUGGACGGGACUUGCUGAGGAAGGGACUGAUAUGGAAAGUAGGAUCCGGGGCUAAGAUCAACAUCCAUCACGACUCGUGGAUACCGAGGAGCGGUAGCACUAAACCGCUGGGCCAAGAAUACAUGCAGGGUAUAACAAAAGUGGCUCACUUACUCAGCUCCGAUGGCAUGUCUUGGAACGAGCAGCUGGUGGAUCAAAUGUUCACUAUGGAGGAUGCGAGGGAUGUGAAACAAAUUGCUAUUGGGGGACCGGAGGUUGAUGAUUAUUUGUCAUGGAACUUCACACGCAAUGGGGUAUUCACAGUGAGGUCGACAUACCACUUACGAAUAUCUCUAAGCAGAGCGAGGAUCAGACAGCCGGAGUCCUCAAGUUCGGUAGCGUUGCAUAAAGGAUAUUUGGUGUUGUGGGAUACAAAUACGUUGGGCAAGGCAAAAAUUCACAUGUGGCGCAUGAUCCGCAACGGCCUCGCUGUGGGGGCAGAACUCCAUCGGCGUCGGAUCAAGCCGGGCGUUUUUUGUGUUGUGUGCGCCCGAGAAGAGACCAUCAUGCAUAGGUUCUGGGGCUGCCAACAUUCAAUCAUGUUUUGGGAGACAUUGAGGGCCCAGGCUGGGCUCGUUUUGGAGGAACCACCGAAAUACUUGGACAAUUAGCGAGCCCUUGCAUCUUGGCUCUUGGACUGGUUUACUCGGGCAAGCCAUGACGAGAGGGAAGUGAUGCUUCAAGCAACCUGUAGUUUGUGGCUGGCGUGCAAUGAGACAAGGGAAGGGCGAAAGAUUGCAACACCCCAUGAAAUAACAGCUACUGUGCAGGUGCAGGUUGCAGAGUGGAGAGCAUCUCACGAGACGAGGGCGCCACAACCGGAGCCAAAGACUGUUCAUCGAUGGGUUCCACCGGAUGCUGGAUGGGUAAAGAUCAACUCCGACGGCGCAGUCUCCAGGUACGGGGAGAAAGGAGGAGGAGGGGCGGUCCUUCGUGAUCACCAAGCGGCGUUCCGAGCAGGACUGUGCCACUUCUUCCCAAACAUUGUUGAUCCUGAGAUGGUUGAGGUGUUAGCUUGCAGACAUGCGGUCAGAAUGGCAAAUGAUCUACACUUCAGGCGAGUGCAUGUUGAGCUUUAUUGUCAGACUCUGGUCAGGACGCUCAACGACCAGCAGAAGAACCUAUCGGCUGUUGGGCCUUGGGUGGAGGAGAUAAAGGAGAUGCUUCGGUCUAUGGAGGAGUUCAAGGUGUCAUGGAUUCGUCGGUCCGGGAAUGUAGCCGCUCAUAAGCUAGCAAAAGUAGGGGUAGGGGAGAACCGUUCGGAGAUUUGGGUGGGCUCGCCACCAGACUUCAUUUUAGAUGUAAUUUCAGACGAGAUUCCUAGCUUUGGUUAAAUAAAGCGGCAUGAUUUCCCCCUCAAAAAAAUAAAUAAAAUAAUAGUCUCCAACACCAAGGCCAUUAGGGUUAGAAAAAAACCACUUUACUUUAAAAGAUCUCCUUAGUCUAUGACUUGUGGGCCCUGUUUGACCAUGUUGACUAGUUAACUGGUGACUGGACUAGUUGACUUGGUCAACCCAGUCCUCUGGUCCCACCUGUAAGCCACUUUGGCUAGCUACGACUAGGUACAAAAAGAGUAUUCUGUUUUCAAUCCGAAUUAAAACAAUUCUAGUAAAUCACAGAAAAUGUUUAAAAGUUUGUAAAUUCAUAGAAAAUAAACCGUAACUUGGAUGAACAAGUUUUAUAUAUGAAAAUUUGCUCAGAAAAAUAUAUUGAAUCCGAAUGUGCAAUCCAUUCAUCUGUCACAUGCCCCUAGCAUGGUGAACAUGGAACCGUCCCCUCUCUUUCAUCUGUCCGGAAAAUGCCUAAUGCCGGGAAAACAUUCCCACAUGUUUCCCCGCUCCGUCAAUAACACCUAGCACUGCGUUAGGUCACCCCUAGCACAACGUUUUGCCAUGUCUUGAUUUCUGAUGCUAUUGUUUGUUCUGUUAUUUAUUGUCUCCCCCCUCCGUUACUUCUUUUCUAGUAGACCCCGAGACUGCCGUUGAUUUGGUGAUCGACUACUUCAUCGUCGAGGGUCCGUAUCUGUCUACAGAGCUUCCAGGCAAGCAAACCCCCUUGAUAAUUCUGAUAUCGCCCAUUCCAUUCUCUCUCAUGCUUGCAUUCGAUUUUGCUACUGUAUUCGAUUGCUCCUAUUCUGAUGCAUAGUCUGCUUUUGUAACCUACUUAUCUUAUCUGCUUAGUAUAGGUUGGUUAGUGAUCUACCAGUUACCCCUCACCUUGUCCUAGUUUCCCCCGCUUUACGAUCGAUGACUCGAUCAACAUGAUCGACGUCCAUAGCGCGACACAUCACAUCACCCCCUUAGUUGUAUGAAUCUGCAAAGUUAUUAUCGAGUGCGGAGGGUGAUACCUCGCUUAGCACUUUUGAUGAGAUCUUUGUAAUAUAGUUAAAUAGUUGUGGUCUACGGAGGGUGAUUCCUCCUUCACCACUCCUGAUAACGAUUCUGUCGUGCAACACAUCAAGAUUGAACCCUCGAGGGUGAUUCCUCCAAGUUGACCUUGACGGAUACAUUGAGUAGAAUCCAUCAAGGGUGAUUCCUCAGGUUCCCCCCUUGAUGUUUUAGACACACGGUUACUUUGACUUCACCUCCAGAACAAUGUUAAAGACGGGUCGGCCUCGAGGGGUACCCGCAAGAGUUACUGUUACUGCAGGACUGGAGGGACAUGCGGUACCACCCCGGUAGAGGUGGACCUGAGUUCCCGACAGUCUCUUGCGAGUUGGGUUGACCAUGAGGGUACCCGCGAGUUGAUGUGUAGUCGGGUUGACCUGGAGGGUACUCGCGAGAUCUCUACAUGGCAUGGCCGGGCAUUCCGGGCCCUUGUCGUAAGUCCACAAGAUGGGGCGACGGGGUCACAUGAUCGUGAGUCUCUACUCGUUACCGUGCGCUCCCAAGACACUAACGGUUUGGAUAUGUGGUCCGAGUAGGCCUCUGGCCUUUUUCGCACUGACCACCAUGUGGGAAUAAGUAUGGGCACUCUGUGUCAUAUGUAUCAGCCGAAAGAUCUCCAGGCAUCAGCAAUGCAGCGACACGCGCUCGGGUGGCCCGCUAAGCACAUGCCUUUUAUAAGGAGGUAGCGAGGACUGAUCCUGGCCGUCCACGCAACAUGCAGGAGUGCGAAAGGCGAUGGGGCCAAGACCCCUGAGUGCUUAGGAUGUAGACCGGCAUGCUGGCCUCUCUGUUGAGUCUAUGCAAGACUGCGGUGCAUUGAUCGGCUGAGGCUGGUCAUGACCAGAUGGUGUGUCCAGCCAAAGUUGAUCGAGCGUGUUCAGUAAGUUUGUGCACCCCUGCAGGGAAGUAUUAUCUAUUCGAAUAGCCGUGUCCACGAUAACUGUCGGGGUACACAAACAGGGGUGUAUGUUUCCCCUGACUUGUGCACGGACAGUGGGCCUCCUCUCCGACAGCCGAAGCACGGCAGGGAAACAACUACACCAAACAUCCAAAUCAAGACCAAGCCAGAGAAUUAGCUCUUUGAGAGAUCAAAGAGCGGAUCAAGAAGACCAACACAAACCAAGGCAACUAGAUGUUACCUUGGGAAAGCCUCCCUUGUCGGGCAGGAGAGCCUAGCCAGGUCGAGGCCGCCCCAAAGGCGAAUUUCCCCACCAAAGCAGCACCGCUCCACCGAACGACGACGCAAAUUGCCUAUCAAUACGGUGUCGAGCCCUCAAGGUGAUUAAGUGGCUUCUACUGAGCACGUGGCAACCAUUUGGAAGGCAGAUUACCUCUAUAUGACACCCGUCUAGAGGUGUGUCAAGCAGAUAAGCAUAAGAUGCUUAAGCGACACAACAGGCUUGCUGGGCUGCAUCCUCAGCAUGACACCUAGCAGUGUAUUUAAUGCACUUUGUCCUAACCGACAGAGUUAGGUAUGAUAGCACCGUUAGCUAUCUAAUCAUUAGAUAAUGACUAUUUUUCCACUGUGGUUACCCCUUGGACUAUAAAAGGAGGGCCAUGGCAAACAAGAAAAGGAUUCAGACCCUUGCACAUUUGUAUGCGCGUAGUUGCUCUCCCCGAGGCGACCUUGCUGGUCUGGUGCGCUGCGUGCUCAUCCUGUUCCACCCUGCAAUCCACGAAAGCAGGAGUAGGGUUUUACGCUUCUCAGUGGCCCGAAUCUGGGUAAAAACCACUAGCGUCACCACUGUCGUGCUGUUUCAUGGUGUCUGCUCUUUGUGCAACGUGACCUUCUCCCUCACCGAACCACAAGGGGCCGAUGGCCCAUAGGUGUUCGUGUUCACCACGACACCUUUGGCGCGCCAAGUAGGGGGAAGCGCUUUCACGAAUCUAAGGUUGUGAAUAGUGCAUCAAGCCGCAUCAUCAUCUCUGUCAACGCUCUCUUCGUUAGCGGUUUUGGAGUGGAAGAACAAUGUCGUUCCCACUCUUUGUCCUACCCAUAUUCCGCUGCUCGCCUCCGCCGUGGCUGCGACGACAAUGGUAAUGGAGGGCAGUGGCGAUGCAAUGACCGUGUGCGGCACGGUUGGGGCGUGGACACCAUGUUCCCCACAUCUGGGAAAGGAAGCGAGGCGUGUGGUGACGUCGCCCUCCUCGCGAGCUCCUUCUGAGCAUGACCAAUGCCAGAAAGUAUCAUUUGGAUAGACAAGAAAAAUAGUACGUGGACGACUCUCCUACCUCCCCCCUUCCUACUUGUCGACGAUCAAGCUAUGCAGUGGUAGCGUCACCAGCGUCGAUGAGCCCACGUGGAACUCGGUCCAGCAUUUGUCUCGACAAGGGUGAAUCCUGAGUGGAGUGCUGGUGCACAUUUGUUGGUUGACGCCCCAACAAGCAUGCUCCGACAGGGUGUUUUGCGCCAGCGUGGCUUUCAUACCUGCUGCCAUGAGGUUGUUGACAAUAUAAGGAAGGGAAAAGAGGGGCCGAGCCUUUCUUAUUUCCUACCAUACAUCAUCAGUUGAGAGAAUUUUUAUUCGCUCCUCCGGCCCUUGCCGGGGCUGGAAGAAUAACUACUAAACUACCGAGUCUUCCCCUUAUACGCCUUCUUGUUUGUUAUCUUUUCAGAACAAGGAUGGAUACACGAGCGCUAUCUUCUUAAGAUACACGAACGGAAGGAACGAUCAUGAGCGAGGAAGGAGAUGCUAUGCCUAACCAAAUGCAUGACCAGCAAGGGAGGGGAGCAUGAACGGAAGCUAAGUUAACAUGUUCAUUAGUUUUCCUUCAGAGCUCGCAAUGUUCAUCCCUCGGACAACCAAGAUUUUCGUAUGGCAAGCCUAUCGUAUAGUGGUACCUUACUGUAACGCCCCGAGACCGAUGUGCCAGGUGUCUUCCAGUUAUUCGCUGUGGUUGCGUUGUCAUUGCUUGUGUGUCAUGCAUUGCAUAUCAUGUCAUCAUGUGCAUUUCUUUUGCAUACAUGUUCGUCUCAUGCAUCCGAGCAUUUUCCCUGUUGUCCGUUUUGCAAUCCGGCGCUCCCACGUCAUCCGGUGUCCCUUUCUACCUCUUUUUGUGUGUGGGGGUUAAACAUUUCCGGAUUGGACCGAGACUUGCCAAGAGGCCUUGGUUUACUACCGGUAGACCUCCUGUCAAGUUUCGUACCAUUUGGACUUCGUUUGAUACUCCAACGGUUAACCGAGGGACCGAAAAGGCCUCGUGUGUGUUGCAUCCCAAUACCCUUCCAAAGUGGCCCAAAACCCACCUAAACCUCCUCCAUCAUCUUGGUCGUUCGAUCACGAUCGCGUGGCCGAAAACCGCACCUCAUUUGGACUCUCCUAGCUCCCUCUACCUAUAAAUAUGUGGCUCUCCCCAAUUUUUCGCGUAGUCCAAACCCUAACUUCGUCCUCCCUGCGCCGCUGGACACUUUUUCCCCGCCCGGACAUGUCCAACCGCCGCCCUCCGACGAAUCCGCCGCCGCCACUUGUCCUCGCGCCGCCUUCCGUCGCCGCAGCCCGCUCGGCCCGAUGCGGGCCCCCGAGCCCAUCGAGGCGCCCCGCGCCUGGAGCGCCCGACGCCGCCGCCUUCUCCGCGUCCGGUCACCGGAGCAGCGCCGGCCACUGCGAGCUCGCCGCGCCAUCCCACCGGCGGCCCGCACCUCGCCGCGACACACCGCCCCGCCGCCACUUUCCCUCGUCGCCGUCGCCGCCCAUCGCCGUCGCCGGUCCGCUCCCCCGCCGUCCGGCCUCCCUCGUCGCCGGCGCACCUUCCCCUCUCCUCCGGCGAACUCAUGGCACCGGUAGCCACUGUUCCAGCGAGAUCCGCCGCCGUCUUAAUCCGCGUGCAAAUCUGGAUCUAGACGAGAGGUUGACUUUUCUCCCCGAAACCCUAAUAUUUUGCUAUUUUCAUCAUGCCAUAACUUUGCAUCCGUAGCUUCGUUUUGCGCGUGUAGCAUAUCAAAACGUUCGUCUCAGAGAGUACAUCAUUUCAUCUCAUUGCAUUAUUUCCAUUUGAGCUCAUCUUGUUGCCCGAAAUGCUGCUGGAAGAGAGCUAUUUGAGUUAAUUGUCAGAUCUGCUGCACCAAAUAGCUAUUUGUCAUUUUUGCCAUGAUUAAUGUGUGCAUGAUAUGCUCCUGAGCUCUGCAUGUGUUUUGUUAUAUGCCAUGCCAUAUUUACAGAGGUGCUACUCAUGUAUUUUUGUGAUAUGUGUGGUGACUAGCACAAGCUUGCAAAGUAGUGCAUUCGUUAAUGCUGAUUUCAGGGACUUAGGAUUUCUCUAAGUCCUUGAUCUAUUCUUAUCAAAAUGCCAUAUGUUCAUGUUGUUUCCUAGUGAUCCGUGCCUCUUUUGAGGAUGAUCAGUAAGGACGAUUUGUUAAUAUUGUGGUGCUCUAUCCAUCCAUGUCUUUGUUUACAGUUAGGGAGCACCCUAGCUUGAGUCAAUCGAGCUCUAUUUUUGCUAUUUCGUUAAUUCUGGCAGAUUGUCUACUUGUUAGCGAUUUUGCCGAGGAUGUUGUUGUUGAUCCGUGCAUGCUAUGUUGUUGUUCUUGCCAUGUCUAGCUUAUAUAAUGUGUAUUCUUGAUGGGUGUAUGCUUAGUUUGUCAUUCCAUGCUCUGUAGUGAGUGCAUCGAGCUCGUAAACAUGCCUACUCGUUAACAUAUUUGCAUGCUCCAGUGUUUCUAUAAGUCUAUAACCUGAUUAUGUUUUUGCCAUGUUUACAUGCUUGCAAUUGUAUUUUCUGACCCCUUUUGGCUCAAGGUCACUAAGAGACUUUUGUUAAGAUCUUUGAGUAGCUCCAUGUCAUGCCUUGCUUUGCCAUGUUAAGUUCCUGUAGCAUAUAGUUUUCAUGCUCCAAAGUGUGCUACCUGAUAUGAAAUUCCAGGCUUGUGUUAAUUUCACUAAGUCUGAAACCUGUUUAUCAAUUGCACUUUUUGCCAUGCUGUUUGAAACUGUUAAUGGAUGAAUUGGCCGUAGCUCAGUGUUCAUCAUUUGUUAAGCAUCUUGAGUGCAUCCCUGCCAUGUAUUUUGUUGUCAUGUUUGAGUGCUUUAGCAUGUUUAUCAUGAUGCAUUUAGAUGGCUACUUGCUAUUUAUCGCAAACCGGUGCCAUAUUUGUUUUGCUUGCCAUUUCCAAACCGUGCAUCCGAUUCCGGUGAUCUUUAUAUCGAAUUCAACCGAAAUCACCUCACCUUUCCAGUGGCACACUUGGAUUUCCAAGUUGUGGCCAGGUUUAAUCAUUUCUUGUCAAAUCAUGCAUAUGCAUCGCAUACCGCAUCUCGCAUAUCAUACCAUGUUCAUGUGUGGUUUGUUUACUAUGUUGUGUGCUUCUUUCCGGUCUUUGCGUCUUCGGGUUGGUUCCGGUAACGUCGCGUUUGUGAGGACCCGUUCGACUAUGUCCGUUUGUCUUCUUCAUGGACUCGUUCUUCUUCCUUGCGGGAUUUCAGGCAAGAUGAUCAUACCCUUGAAAUCACUUCUAUCUUUGCUUGCUAGAUGCUCGCUCUUUUGCUAUGCCUAUGCUGCGAUACCUACCACUUGCUUAUCAUGCCUCCCAUAUUGUGAACCAAGCCUCUAACCCACCUUGUCCUAGCAAACCGUUGUUUGGCUAUGUUACCGCUUUGCUCAUCCCCUCUUAUAGCGUUGUUAGUUGCAGGUGAAGAUUGAAGUUUGUUCCUUAUUGGAACAUGGAGAUGUUGUUCCUUGUUGGAACAUGUUUACUUGUUGGGAUAUCACAAUAUCUCUUAUUUAAUUAAUGCAUCUAUAUACUUGGUAAAGGGUGGAAGGCUCGGCCUUAUGCCUGGUGUUUUGUUCCACUCUUGCCGCCCUAACUUCCGUCAUAUCGGUGUUAUGUUCCCGGAUUUUGCGUUCCUUACGCGGUUGGGUAAUAAUGGGAACCCCUUGACAGUUCGCCUUGAAUAAAACUCCUCCAGCAAUGCCCAACAUUGGUUUUACCAUUCGCCACCUAGCCUUUUCUUUCCCUUGGGUUCUGCAGACUCAAGGGUCAUCAUUAUUUUAACCCCCCCGACCAGUGCUCCUUUGAGUGUUGGUCCAAACUGUCAGCCGCCGGUGGCCACCAGGGGCAACUCUGCGCUGGCCUACCGGAAGUUUGGACAAUCUGAGUGUGCCCUGAGAAUGAGAUAUGUGCAGCUCCUAUCGGGAUUUGUCGGCACAUUCGGGCGGUGUUGCUGGACUUGUUUUACCAGUGUCGAAAUGUCUUGUAACCGGGAUUCUGCGUCUGAUCGGGUCUUCCCACUAGAAGGAAUAUCCUUCGUUGACCGUGAGAGCUUGUUAUGGGCUAAGUUGGGACACCCCUGCAGGGAUUUGAACUUUCGAAAGCCGUGCCCGCGGUUAUGGGCAGAUGGGAAUUUGUUAAUGUCCGGUUGUAGAAAACCUGAAGUUGACCUUAAUUAAAAUGCAUCAACCGCGUGUGUAACCGUGAUGGUCUCUUUCCAGCGGAGUCCGGGAAGUGAACACGGUGUUGGAGUUAUGCUUGACGUAGGUUGUUCUAGGAUCACUUCUUGAUCAUAUUUUUCUCGAUCAUGCUUUGCCUCCUCUUCUCGCUCUCAUUUGCGUAUGUUAGCCACCAUAUAUGCUAGUCGCUUGCUGCAGCUCCACCUCAUACCUUUACCUUACCCAUAAGCUUAAAUAGUCUUGAUCGCGAGGGUGUAAGAUUACUGAGUCCCCGUGACUCACAGAUACUUCCAAAACCAGCUUGCAGGUGCCGAUGAGUCCAUGCAGAUGACGCAACCGAGCUCAAGGAGGAGCUUGAUGAAGACCUUGUCCUUUGUGUUGUUUCGUUCCAGUUGAUCAGUAGUGGAGCCCAGUUGGGGUCGAUCGGGGAUCUGUGUAGCAUUUGGGGUAGUCUUGUUUUAUUUUGGCUCCGUAGUCGGGCCCUGAUUGUAUUUGGAUGAUCUAGUGCUUUAUUCAUGUAUUUGUGUGAAGUGGCGAUUGUAAGCCAACUAUGUAUCUUUUCCCUUAUUGUAUUACAUGGGUUGGUUGCGAAGAUUACCUCAUUUGCGACAUUGCUUUCAAUGCGGUUAUGCCUCUAAGUCGUGCUUCGACACGUGGGAGAGCUGCAUCGAGGGCGUUACACUUACCAUAUUUGUCCGCGCCCCUGCUUUGUUUCGAGCCUGCUCAACGAAGUGGCGGCUGCGUCAAAGACUGCUAAGGAGAAACCUGCCGGGGCAUAUCCUCUCCAGCUAAAUGCGAAGGACCAGUUCCUCAUAGCAAUCACAGCAGAAUGCAACCGGCAGCCAACCUAAGUACACAAAAUAAACUAACCAUACGAACAUCAAUGGGCAAACAUAAGGGGGAUAGCAUACAUUAACUUAAAUAAACAUCAGUUCGAUAAGUACCAAAGCAAUAACAAUAUGAGGCCUAAACACGAGACACAUAUUAUGUUUUGUUAUAGGGCUGCACAACAACACAAAUAACUCAAGGCUGACGGUUUCCGAGAACCCUUGGGAUGGAAAGGACUUUGUCAGCGAGAGGGGCGGCUUUAUCCGUGGCAACAAAAGUAUCGGCACGCAACGACAUCCUCUUGAAACCAUCAGCAAGGUUGAGGCCUGGGUGGCGGUAGGCUAGGUUGCUCAAGACCAUGAAGAGGGCAUCACGGGCAAGCUUCCGGUACUCGUUUACAAAGCAAGUGUCCCUAUCAUCCUCAUAUGUCUUCAGCCCUUCGAUCAAGCCUUCAAAGAAGAGCAUCAACUUGACGCUUGGAACCUCAUCACUACCAACGAAGAAGGCCCAGCUCUUCAUGUUCAUCGUUGCAAUUUGUGCAGUGAGGCGCUCAGCAAUAUUGACCAGGUUCUUGAUCCAGAGAUCACACUGCUUGACUUGGUUCGCCAGUUUGUCUUCUGUGUCCUUCUGGAGAAUUCUUGCGUUAUCCAAGUCCUUCAUCAGCAAUUUCUCGCGAGCCCCGGCAGACUCAAUUUCACUUUCGAAAGUACCAAGCCUCGCCUUCAUGUCAGUGAUCAUACCAUUGGCAGUAUCAAGGGCCUGGCUCUUGGAGGAAAUCUGCGAUUGCACCUCCUUCAGGAGGGCCUCUGCUUUCCGCACUUCCUCUUUGAGGGCCACGAUUUUCUUGGUGCUCCUGGCAAGAUCCUCCGUUAGCUUGGGCACUUGUUAAUCAAGACCAGUUUUGGCAGCAGAGGCAGCGGCAAGCUCAUCGGUCACCUUCUUCAAUAGAGCAAAAGAGUUAAGGGUUAACGUAUCAAGAGCUGCUUUGUGUUUGUCCUCCAAGUCUUUGGUGCGCUGCUAGACAAGGGCCUCUAGUUCUUCAUCCUUGCCACGAAGGGUGGCUUCAAGGUUCCCUUCCCAGGUUGAGAUGUCCUUCUCCUUGGCGUUCAGAAGCGCUUCACGCUCCGCCGGGUGGACCUUCCGGGCAGCGACAUCCUCCUUUGCCAUGGUUAUCACCUCCUGCUGCCGCUGGAGGGAUUGGAAAUGUUUGAUGUGCCAUUCACGCAACUCGUUGCCCUUACCCCUCAACUUCUGAUCCAUGAUGCCAAUGGAGUCAUGUUGCUCCUUGAUUGUCUACCACUCCAGGCUAUACUGCGCCGCACGUCCUUGAUCCCUGCAGCCAUGGAUUCAAAGAAGGACAAAUCCAUGGCCGCGUCAACGGAAUCGUCAGCCUCUUUGGUUCUUUGGGACAAUGGCGCCAAGAUGCGUCGGAUCUCUUUGUGAAGUCCGCGACCACGGCAACAGAUGAGUUAGGGGCUGCGAGCCCAGGUUGGGCAAGGACCAGUGCUAGCUUGCUUAAGGGUGGUUGUAGGGCUACAACCGGUUUGCCAAACAAGGGAAGAGGGCCCAUAGUUUGGACAGGGAUUUUCUCCUCAACUACAACCUUUGACCUCGAUGCGCUGCCGGAGGUUCCCUCUGCUUCCUUUGGGGCUUAUUGGAUGUCCACGGCGGUAUGUUCUUGGCCUUCUACAAUAGUGGCCACCUCUUCCAGCAGCUUAGGUUCCUCGGCCAACAGAGCUGCGGACGUAAACCACAAGCAAUGAUAAGGAGAUGCUACGACCUGCUAAGUCAAAGACUUGGAAGAAUUCAAAUAAAAAGAAACAAGGACAGGCGGAUUACCCAGUGAUGGUUGUCGCAGAGGGGCGUCGGUCUCCCCGGCAGCAUCAGUUGCCGGGACAUGAUCCAUGUUCUGAUGCUGCCGGGACAUGAUCCGUGCUCGCUCCCUAAAUGGUCGUAGUCUCGGUACGGGCCGACCCCUUGGUGGAGGCCCUGGCCGGUGACUUCUCUACUUGAAUCCUGGGUGGGGUGGACCUCUCCUGGUAGGCCCCACCCUGGUGGAUCUACUCUCCUUCCUUGGCGGGGGAUGGAGCAUGUUCUUUCGCACCUCUCUGGGUGGGCGAAACUUACCCCACGCCUUCAUGCCGGGGGCUGGGCUAGGGGCUAGGUGCAGGAUCCUCUAUACUAUCUCCCGCCAGACCCGUGCUUGCCGAGGGCCCUGACGACGCCACCUGCUUGGUUUGUUUUGCCAGGUGGAUGAGGAGUUCUUCAUCUCUGGCAAGUCAACGAGCAAGAUCGGAUCAACAAGCAUCAAAUACAUAGUCCCUCAACAAGAAAAGUCAGUAUUCCCCUUACUCUGGGCAUGAAGCCCAGCGCGUAUUCUGCAGGUGGUGGGGUCGCUCUACUCUUCAGGGUAGGGGGAGCAGAACUUCCCAACAACUUCAAGCUCUUUGGAAGAGCCUGGGGUUCCGACGAGGUCGAGCUGCGCGAGGAAGCUGGACCUGACUGAGGGCUAGGAUCAACUCCUAUCACUCCUUGUCACUUGGCGGGCAGGAUCUUGGCCUCGAAAAGGUGGGAGGAAUGGCGACGUGCCACAUCUGGCUUGUCGCUCUUGGAAGCAAUUUUCCUCACCCUCUUAGUUGCUAGCGCGAGAACAGGGGUCGCUACUCCCUGGCUGGCCCACCUGCAAGGACGUUGGUCCAGAUCUGGCUCUGGGGCUUGAGGGCCCAUUGCGAGCCAUUCCUCCUCAGGCUGCUCUGCUUCCUCAGCCCCACCUCUUUCUUGUGUCUCUACUGUCGCGACAUGAAGAAUUUCAUCCCCGACAGGCUCAAUCCUGGCAUACUCCUCUGCGGCGUGCUCCUCACUCCUUUCAUAUGAAGAGCCUUCACCUUCAGCUUCCUCCUCCUGCUCCUCCUCUUCUUCGGGCCUUGCCUUCUCGGUAGCUCGGAGCGCUUUGUCCUCUUCGAUCCGCCUCCUGAUAAACUUUGCCUCUAUUGUGGAGGUACGCUUGAACAUGUUGCUCUCCACCCUGGAAGCCCUUUCUUCUAGAUUGGAAACCCACUCUGAUGCGGAGCAUCCUACGAUCAUCCCCAUGUACACUUCGACUACUCCCCAAGCCUCAAGAGGACAUACGAUGAGACCUCGACCAUACGCCAUUGGACACAAGGUGAACUCACUCCUCUUUGAUCCGCCACUUUCCACAUAUGAGACAUGGUUACUACCUCAUGCAUGGACCUUGUGUAUACUCAGGCUCAUACGAGAUGACCAUGGAGAUUCAAAGGACCAAGGCCAAACAUGGAAGAGAAGACAGAAGAAAGGAGAAGAAGACGGAGCAGCUGCCGGAGUCAGCCCGGACGUCCGGACCUCCGUCCGGAUCAUCCGGGUAAUCCCACAGCCACGACACAUGAAGCUUGCAGAAUCCACCCGGCGGAGCCGGAUCAUCCGUACGAGGACCUGGAUCAUCCGGACGAUGCCCGGAUCAUUCGGACCCCCAUCCGGAUCAUCUGGCCUUUGCCGGCGCGCAUGACUUGGGCCGAGGCCCGUGUACCCCUUCGCCCCUCACUUACCCCUUCAUGGCUUAGCACUAUAUAUAGACCCCCGCCUCCUCCUAGAUAGGGUUUGCAAAGGAUUAGCUCAUUUGUGAGAUAAAGCUUUGCUCAUCCACUUGAUACCCUUCUCCAUUGGAGUUCACAACCUCUUCGGAGAAGAUCCCCCAAGUGGAUUCAAGACCUCUUUGGAGAAGAUCCCCCAAGUGGAUUCAAGACCUCUUCGGAGAAGAUCCCCCAAGUGGAUUCAAGAUCCCUCAUGGGAAGAUCCCUCGCGGAUUCAAGACCUCCUCACGGAGAUGAACUAGUUAUCCUAUGUAUCGUCCUUUGUUGAAUUUGGAUCGUGUAUCUCUUUGUGUUUCAAGGAUCUAGCAUAUGUGUGACCAAAUCUUGUUGGUUUGAGUGAUUCUCUCGUGUUUUCUCCUCAUGUUCUUCAUGUUCAUUGCGGGAUCCGCUCCUUUCGUGAAAGAUCGGCCAUCUAGGGUUCCACCCUACAUCACACUCGAUCUUUGAAUCAAGUUCGGGUAGUUGCCAAUCAGCUUCAACUCCAUAAGCGUUGCAGUCAGGCAUCCACUUCAGAAUAUGGUCCCAGUCAGAGUUGAUGUCCAGCAGGACGACCCUUGAUGGCAAAUUGAAUGGCCCGAGGCUGCCGAACAGCUGUUCGCAUAUCCAGCCAUGGCCAUAGAUUGACAAAUUGUUGGCAAGGCUCGGAUAUAUGCGCAUACUGUCUGCGGCGUCUCUGUACUGCGAGGUGAAUCUGUCCCUCUUCUGCAGUGGCACAAUGCGGCGUUAGAGGAAGUCAACCCCCACCUGUUUGAUGGUUAGUCCGACAGCUUUGAGGCGGGCAACCCUGUUCAGCGCUGGGCGAAGCCUAUUGUCGGAUUCAGGGCUUUGUAGACCCAAAAAAGGUUCGAACUGUGGGGCGUGUGCGAAGAACUCAACCUCUCCAGGUAACCAGCUCAUCACCCCCAUGGCCUAGCUCGAGGAACAAGGAAGGAGAUGGACUCAACAGUUUACCCAGGUCCGGGCCACCUUGCGUUGUAAGACCCUACUUGGUGUAGGGUAGAACCCUAGUUGCCCGUGAAAGUGCUAGUUAUCGACUAGAGGGAGGGGGGGUGAAUAGGCGAUUUUUAUGGAAGUCUUGAAAACACGGGGGCUUUGAAGACAAACGAUAGGAAUGAAACUAUUGAUAUGCAACGGAAGGUAGACUACACUAGACAUGCCAUAGUCAAGUAAGCAAUGAAGUGAAUGCACGAAGACUAUCAGCAGCUAGGUAGUAAGGAUCAGGAUGGAAGACAGUGUGAAGCCAAACAGUAAACAGUCUUCACUCAGUGAAGUCAAUCAGAUCAUACAGUAAAGCAAUGACUUCACAAAGACAAACUGUAAAGUAAAGGGAAGUGAAUGAUAGAACCAGUAGCUUGGUGAAGACAAGGAUUUGGUAGACCAGUUCUAGUUGCUGUGACUACUGUAUGUUUGGUUAGGGAGGCUGAGAUUUAACUUAGAAGACCGCAUCUUCACCUUAUUCCCCUUGAGCUAAGGACACACAGUCCUCGCCCAAUCACUCUGGUAAGUCUUCAAGGUAGACUUGCUCAAGGCUAUGAUCCAAGCCAUACCUACCUAUGCAAUGUCAGUUUUUAAAAUUCCUAAUCUUUUUUGUAAAAGGAAUCAUUGACGCGAUUGCACAUUUCUGGUGGGGAGACGAGGAGAACUAGAGGAGGAUGCACUGGAUGGCCUGGUGGAAAAUGUGUGCACCAAAAAACCAAGGAGGAAUGGGUUUCCGUGAUAUCCACUGUUUCAACAUGGCUUUGCUCGCCAAACAGGCAUGGAGUCUCAUUGAUAAUCCUGAUUCCUUGUGUGCUACUAUUCUGUGAGCCAAGUACUAUCUUGAUGGCGAUUUGAUGAAGUCCAGGCCAAAGCGUGGCACUUCCUUCACAUGGCGAAGCAUUAUGGCAGGCAUAAAUACCCUGAAAUGUGGCUACAUUUGGUGAGUGGGGAAUGGACACAUCAUCAAUAUUUGGGAAGAUGCCUGGAUCCUAAACUGUGCCACUAGGAAGAUUAUGACCCAUAGGGGGGACAAUUGUUAUCAAAAGUGGGUGACCUGAUUGAUCCCGUCUCCAAUAAUUGGGAUGAGGACCUGAUUAGACAAACUAUGUGGCCCAUUGAUGCGCAACGGAUUCUUCCAAACCCACUUUCGCAACAUGAUAUGACAGAUUUCAUUGCCUGGAGUUAUACGAAAAAUGGUAUGUUAUCGGUAUGAUCUGCUUACUUUGUGGAGUGGAAUCAUCAGUAUGGGAGUAAACUAAAAUAUGCUAAUGGGAUGGGGCGAAUCACACAUAACCCUAUAUGGUGUCAAAUUUGGAAGUUAUCUUGUCCGGCAAAAGUAAAAAAAUUUAUAUGGCAUACAUUACAUGGCACCCUCCUGUCCUAAUUGCUACUAGACACAUGAAGGUCUCGCCCUCUUGUCCUAAUUGCUCUCAAGGUUUAGAAGAUACGAAACACAUGCUUUUCCUCUGUAGUAAAGCAAAGGAGGUUUGGAAGAAACUAGGGAUGGAUGAGAUUAUUGAUAAAGCUUGUGAGGUUGACCGUGCUGGGGAGGUGAUAUUGGAAUACCUUCUACUUCUUCCCGACCAAGAUUUGAGUAUUAUGGGGUACCAAAUGUACGAGAAAUGAUAGCCAUUUUAGCUUGGUAUCUAUGGUGGGAAAGACGAAAAAUAGUGCACAAGGAAUUAACUCAGAAUGCAAAUUAGAUAUCAAUGGGGAUCAUAGCCCUCACAUCCAAUUUUGUAAAUGCAUCAUCUCAAAAGGCGUCCAUGAAAAAGGGGGGAUGGUACUCUCCUCCUAGGGGUUUUGUGAAACUUAAUGUUGACGCCUCUUUUGAUCAUGACAUGCUGAAGGGUACGAUGGGGGCAGUACUCAGGGACGAUAAAGGUAGGUUUAUUGCAGGAGGAAAUGAAAAAAUUGACUACUGUGCGGAUGUUCUGAUGGAGGAAGCUUUAACACUCAAAUUUGGUCUAACACUGGCACAUAGGGCGGGGUGUAAUCACAUAAUCAUCAAUUCAGACAAUCUGGAGGUGAUAGAGACUAUGCAGGACGGAGGACAAUUAGCGGGUGCGGCGGCAGCAAUUUUCGAUGACUGCUUUCACUAUGCAUGUGAUUUCGUCAUGACUAGAUUCAAACGUUGUUAUUGAGAGGCAAAUAAAGUAGCUCAUGAACUUGCCAGAUUAGCUAGAUUUUCUUUGACUUCAGACUAUUUUGAGUAGCCUCUAAAUGAAAUUGUAGUGAUCCUCACAAACGAUGUAACAGUUAUCUCAAAUGAAUAAAGUUUCGUUUUCUUUCAAAAAAAAGUCUUCAAGGUAGACUUCCAAACCUUCACAGACUUCGUUCACCAGCGAUCCACAAUGACUGUUGGACGCUCAGAACGCGACGCCUAACCGGAUGGAGGAUUCACAGUCCUCAAGUGUAACAAGUCUUCAGAUCACGCGGACAGAAAGACUUCAGUGAUGCCUAACACUCUUUGUGAUGUAGGGUAGAACCCCAAUCGGCCGAUCUUUCACGGAAGGAGCAGAUCCCAUGAAGAACAUGAAGAACACGAGGAGGGAAACGAGGGAAAACACAAGAGGAACACUCAAACUAACAAGAACAAGCCACACAUGUGCUAGAUCCUCGAGUACAUAAGGAAAGAUACACGAUCCACAGACAACUAAGGAUGAUACAAGGGUAGCCGAUCUUCUCCGUGAGGAGGUCUUAAGUUCUGCCCUAAAAGGGGUCUUGAAUCCGCUUGGGGGAUCUUCUACGGUGGAGGCUCAAAUCUCCAUGGAGAAGGUAACCAAGUGGAUGAGCAAAGCUCUCACACAAACAUGAGCUAAACCUUUGCUAACGCUAAAAUGUAGGUGGAGGGGGAGUACAUAUAGUCUAAGGGGACAUGGGCCUUGUCCCAGAUGCACAACACGCAGGCAGGGGAGGCCGGACGUCCGGGCGACGGGCCGGAUGUCCGGGACUUCACGGAGAGCCGGAUGCCCGGGCUGGCAUGCCGGAUGUCCGGGCUGGAGGAGCUGACUUCGUUGCUCUAUGUUUUGAGGGUGCCGGAUUUCUGGGGGUGAGGCCGGAUGCCCGGGACUUGGCGAGGCGCCGGAUGUCCGGGGUUGACGCCGGAUGUCCAGGGCCUGUAGCACUUGGUGGCUGGGCGGCUGUUGCUGUAGUGGUCGUCUCCAGCGGCCGGAUGUCCGGGUCCUGGAGCUGCCUUCUUCUCCUUUCGGUGUUUCUCUUCAUCCGUGGACUUGGCGGUUUGUACAUCUUCAUGUGCAUCCUCGGGAGGGUCCUCUUUGUACCUAAUGAUGCACAACAACUCAAACUUAGGUAGUAGCCAUGUCUAUGCAUAGAAAGUGGAAGUUUGGAGAGGAGUGAGUUCACCUUAUUUUCGAUAGCCUUGGCUCGGGCUCUUGUCAUUGGUCCAAGUGGUGUCGUUGGAGAUGUAGGUGCAUCCAUGGGGAUGAUCUUGGGAUGCUCCGCAUCAUCUCCCCUCCCUUGGGGAAGAUCCAUCCUCGGAUCAAAAUCCUCAUCACCAUGGUAGGGCGAGAGAUCUUUGAUGUUGAAGAUGUCCCUCACGGAGUACUUGUCACGUGGGAUGUCGAUCUUGUAAGCAUUGUCGUUGUAGUGUGCAAGCACCUUGAAUGGUCCAUCUGCUCGUGGUCGAAUCUUGGACUUGCGUUCUUGUGGAAAGUGAUCCUUUCGAAGGUGUAGCCACACGAGAUCACCAAUGUUGAAGAUCAUGGGGUGCUUGUUGAUGUUGCGCUUGGUCGCAAGUCGUUGUACUUGGUGCUCGAUAGUAUGUCUUGUAUCUUCAUGCACCUUCUUGAGAUGAGUCACACGUGCACUUGCGUCCAAAUUGAUGCGCUCUUGGAGUGGUAAAGGGAGAAUAUCCAAUGGUGACAAAGGAUUGAACUCGUAGACGACCUCGAAGGGUGACUUGCCGGUUGUUGAGUGUCUUGCUCGGUUGUAGGCGAACUCGGUGAUAGGUAGGCACUCCUCCCACUCCUUGAUGUUCUUAUUGAUUAGUACUCGAAGUAGAGUGGAGAGUGUGCGGUUGGUGACGUCUGUUUGGCCGUUGGUUUGUGGAUGAUAUGCCGUAGAGAAGAGUAGCUUGAUUCCGAGUUUGGCACAUAGGGUCUUCCAAAAGUAGCUAAGGAACUUGACGCCGCGUUCUGAGACGAUAGUCUUUGGCACUCCAUGUAGACACAAUAUUUCCCUAUAAAAGAGAUUAGCAACAUGUGAAGCAUCGUCUAUCUUGUUGCAAGGAAUAAAAUGUGCCAUUUUUGAGAAACAAUCCACAACGACAAAUACGGAAUCCUUCCCAUUUCGAGUCCUAGGCAAACCAAGUACAAAGUCCAUGCUAAUGUCUUCCCAUGGUUGAUAUGGAAUUGGUAGGGGAAUAUAAAGGCCAUGAGAUUGCGCUUUGGACUUAGCUUUGCGACAUGUAGAGCAACAGUUGGUGAAGUGAUUGACGUCGCGAAACAUCUUCAGCCAAAAGUAGUUCUUCGAGAGCGUGGCGAACAUCUUGUCUCGUCAAAGUGUCCCAUUAAGCCUCCUCCAUGAGAUUCCUGCAAAAGCAACAAACGAAGAGAAGACUCGGGGAUGCAAAGUUUGUUAGCUCUCAUAAGAUACCCAUCUUUGAUGUAAUAGCGUUCCGUUGUGUGACAAACACUUGGCAUAUGGAGUAGCAAAAGAAGGAUCAUGCUCAUACAAGUCUUUGAUAUGCUGAAAACCAAUGAUAUCCAAUUCAAGUUGAGUGACAAGCAUGCAUAUGCGAGAAAGGGCAUCCGCUACAAUGUUUUCCUUACCCUUAAUGUACUUGAUGACAUAAGGAAAAGACUCAAUAAAUUCACUCCACUUAGCAUGACGCUUGUUCAACUUGGUUUGGCCCUUAAGAUACUUGAGAGUCUCAUGAUCGGUAUGAAUGAUAAACUCAUGGGGACGAAGGUAAUGUUCCCAUUCAUGCAAGACGGCACUAAAGCAUAGAGCUCUUUGUCAUAGAUGGGGUAAUUGAGUUGAGCACCGGAGAGUUUCUCACUAAAGUAAGCUAUGGGGCGCUUCUCUUGCGUUAACACACCUCCUAUGCCAUUACCACUAGCAUCACAAUGAAUCUCAAAGGGUUUGUCAAAGUUGGGUAAAGCAAGCACGGGAGCAUGAGUAAGUAAGUUCUUGAGCUCAUUGAAAGCGGUAUCUUGGGAUGGUCCCCAAACAAAAGGCACAUUCUUCUUGCUUAAAGCAUGUAAAGGCGAAGCAAUGGUGCUAAAAUCCUUCACAAAGCGACGAUAGAAGCCCGCAAGGCCAAGAAAGCUACGCACUUGUUGCAAAUUGGUUGGUUGUGGCCAAGUCUUAAUAGCAUUGAUCUUGGACUCGUCAACAUGAACACCCUUGGAAGAAACAACAAAACCCAAGAAAAUGAGCUUGUCAACGCUAAAAAGGCAUUUCUCCAUAUUAGCAUAGAGAUGCUCUUUUUGAAGAGUUUGCAAAACGGUUCUAAUAUGGGUGACAUGCUCUUUGAGAGACUUGCUAAAAACAAGAAUGUCAUCGAAGUAGACCACAACAAAUGUACCAAUGUAAGGGCGAAAGACAUGAUUCAUAAGACGCAUAAAAGUACCCGGUGCUUUCGAGAGACCCAUAGGCAUGACUAACCAUUCAUAUAAGCCAAACUUGGUUUUGGAAGCGGUUUUCCAUUCAUCACCCUCUUGUAUGCGGAUUUGAUAGUAACCACACUUAAGAUCAAUUUUGGAAAAGAUAGUGGCACCACUAAGUUCAUCAAGCAUAUCAUCUAGGCGUGGAGUAGGAUACCUAUAGCGAAUGGUGAUAGCAUUGAUAGGUCUACAAUCGGAGCACAUGCGAAAACUACCAUCUUGUUUUGGCACAAGAAUGACCGGGACGUCACAAGGGCUCAAACUUUCAAGUACAUGUCCAUGGUCUAUAAGAUGCUUUACUUGCCUUUGUAUUUCUUUGGUCUCUUCGGGGUUGACGUGGUAGGGAGCUUUGUUCGGAAGCGGUGCUCCGGGGAUGAGGUCGAUGCGGUGCUCAAUGCCUCGUAGUGGAGGUAGUCCCGGAGGUAGCUCGUCGGGGAAAACGUCGUGAAAUUCCUGCAAAAGAGAAGAUAACACUAGAGGAAGAGUGUGAGAAGUGUUAGUUUGUGGUGCAUUGUCCUUGCACACGAGGACGUAGUGUAGGACACUAGAUGGGUUCUCACACACUCCUCUUAUCUCACUUUUGGUGGCAAAUAGGACUAGGUUCUUCUUUGCGCUCAUCCUGGAGGUGUUCGAUUUGGGCUUGUGGCGCUCACUCUCUCACUAUUAUCUCCACGAUGGGUGGCUUGCUUAUCAGCGACAUCUUGGCUUGGAGACAUGGGACAAAGUACAUACUCCUUGCCCUUCAUCUUGAAGAUGUAGUGGUUAGUUCGGCCGUUGUGGAUGACUCCUCUAUCGAAUUUCCAUGGGCGUCCAAGGAGAAGAUGGCAAACGGUCAUUGCAACAACGUCGCACUCCAAGGUGUCUUCGUAGGCGCCAAUUUUGAAGGAGACUUGUACUCGGUGCUCGACUUGGAUAGUUUCGGAGUUGCUAAGCCAUUGCACUUUGUAUGGAUGUGGGUGCUUCGUCUUGGACAAUUGGAGCUUGGAGCAAAGUUCUUCACUUGCUAGAUUAUGACAACUCCCUCCAUCGAUGAUGAGCUUGACGAAUCGUCCAUUGAUGCCGGCCUUGGUGUGGAAUAUUUGGCAUCGUUGGUCUUCUUCUUGGUGAUAUUGGAGAGUCAAGACCUUGGAGACAACAAGGGCAGGACUUGAAUCUUCAUUGCAAAAGACUUGUUCCUCUUCAUUGUUCACUUGCCGGUGCAUGGCGACUUGCUCAAGAGCAUCCAUUUCUCCUUCACUCAUGGAGUCAUAGGUGCCGUCCUCAUUUAGGAUCAUGGUCCGCUUGUUGGUGUACUCGUAGGACUUGUGGCCUGGGCCUCCGCAUGUGAAGCAUUUGAAGGAACUUGUUUUGACGGUCACAUCGGUUGGAGUGGAUGACGAUGAAGCUCUUGGCUUGAAGUUGCUCGUAGUAGGAUGACUUGGAGUUGACAAAGCUUUCUUGGAACUCGACUUGUCGACGUUGCUUGUAGAAGGCUUGGUAGACGUUGUUGGAGUCGUUGAAGCUUGGGUGUUGGAGAAGCCGAAUGACUUGGAUGAGAACUUGGCAUACUUGAAAUCAUCUUGCACUUGGCGUUCCGCUUUGGUAGCUUGAUGCACUAGCUUGAUAAGGUUCGAGUAUGGUUGGAAGUCGGCGAUCUUCUUGAUGGGAUGGUUGAGUCCAUUCAAGAAACGUGCCAUAGUUUUCUCAUCAUCUUCCGUGACAUUGGCUCGUAUCAUUGCAAUCUCCAUCUCCUUGUAGUACUCUUCAAUGCUCUUGGUUCCUUGCUUGAGUAGUUGGAGCUUCUUGAAGAGGUCACAGUUGUAGUGGGUAGGCACAAAGCAUGCUCUCAUGACAUCCUUCAUUUGCGCCCAAGUAGUGAUGGGUGGUUCACCUCUUGCCUCUCGGCGCUCGAUAACUUGUUCCCACCAAAUGAGGACAUAGUCUUGGAACUCAAGGGAUGCCAUCACGAUCUUCUUCUUUUCUUCAUAGUUGUGCAAACGGAAGAUCUUGUCAACUUUCAAUGCCCAUGAAAGGUACUCUUCGGGAUCGUUGCUUCCAUUGAACAUGGGCAUGGUGAACUUGAUUUUGCCGUAGCAUUGCUCUUCAUUGUAUUUGGGUCGGGGAUGAUUACACCCAUGUUGUUGAUGAUUGUGCAACUUGUGGUGCUCUUGGCGCGGAGGGUUGUCGACCUCAUGAUGCUCUUGUCGUGGAUGAUCUCCAUUGUGUUCAUGCUCUUGAUGAACUUGAUGUUAUUGGCGAGCUUGUGGAGGAGCUUGUCGAGCUCGAGGAGGAACUUGACGAUGCAUGCGAGCUUGAUAAAUCCUCUCGCGGACUUCUUCGCGAAGUGCUUCUGCGUGUUCACGAGCUUGUCGGCCUUUGUCGGCUAUGACUCAACUUGAAUCACGUAGAGCUUGUUGCGCCUCAAGUGCUUGAGCUUCACGGAGUUGUUGUUCUUGACGUUGUGCCUCGGCAUCUUGUGCAUUUUGGUGAAGACACGCUCGCUCUUCCUCUUCAUGUUGGUGUUGUCAUUGUCGUUCUCGUGCUAGCGCAAAGGCCUCUUGGUUUUGACAUCGUCGGUGCUCUUGUGAGUCGGUGUCGCGUAGAGGAUUGAAGCUUGCUUGAUGCUCGUUGCGCGCGGCACGGCGAAGAGUGUUCGAUGUCAGUGUACUUAAGCCGGAGAGGGUGAAGUCGGAUUGGCGACUUGAACGGCUCCUUCUUGAAGUGGAAGAAGAGCGGUUCAGCAACAAAGCACGAAUCUCGUCCAUUCUUGCGUCAUUCUCUUGCUUGUGAUCAUCAAGCUUGUGGUCGAAGUAGUCCCUUGUAUGUUGCUCGGAGAGUCGCAAGUCCGUGGCGAGGUUGUCGAUGCGUUCACUCAUAGCUUGUUGCUCUUGAUGAAAAGCACGUUGUGCACCAAAGAGGUGACUCUUGGUGACGAAGGAGUUCAUGUCGUCGUCUUGCUCCAUGAAGAGUGGGUUGGUAGAAGUACUUGGCCUAUCCAUCAUUCCAAGACAAAUGAGAGUGGUAGAAAGAGAAGAACGAAUACCAAAUGUACCUUGACCGAAGUUGAAAGUGGAUCGAUGAUCACUCCAAUGUAGGACAAGGAAAUAGCACAAUUGGUACUAGCUCUUGUCGAUUUCUCACACCUACACAAGUAAAAGCUUAUGGUGGAGCUUGGUUAGGAUGGUGGCACACAAUUUGAUGCAAUUGUAAGUGAGCUUCAAUAAUGUUGGAAAAGAUUCACAAGAUGCAAUGUAACAAGUAGACCAAGCAUAUAAGGUACACGGGAACACACACGCAAAAAGAUAAGUGGGGUUGGGCAACCAAGGAUGAGCCAAAAUGUGGAAUCCACAAAAAUGCUCUUGUUGCACAACACUAGAGAGACGCUAGCACGAUUGCAUAAUAGGCGGAUACAAGAACUUGUGCACAACUUACUUAGAAAAAAUGCAACGACUUCUAUCCCAAGUAUGUUCUAUGCAAGGUGUUCCAAUGAUAUGAUCCAAGAUGAUCUAGUAUGACAAUCUUAAUGUUGUAUGAUGCUAUGGUUCUUGCUUAAAAGCUCUUUGCUUAAAAGCUUGUUUGGCUCUUUGAUGUUUGAGCUCUUUUCUCAUGCAAUGCUUGACGAACCAAGAUAGCAAUUGUGUAUGCGAUGACAACUUUGUGACAGAAGAGAUGAUACCAAUAUAUGCAACAAUGAUGUAUGUAUGCUAUGGGAAGUAUGAUCACUAAUGUGCACAAGUCUCGUUGCCGGCAAUACUCAAAGGCUAGUCUCGAUGGGUAAGCAACACAAAGGAGUAAGGCUAUGAUGGCUAUCAAUGUAAUGGCAAGAGUGAUAUGUCCAAUACCAAGAUGAGGUUACCGUUUCUUGCGGACGGUAUGGUGCCAAAAUGGUGGACCGAAUACCAAAAUGUAGUCGAGGUGGUCGUUGUUGUAGACGCAUCCGUGGCGAAGAUGAGCAGCGGUGAUGUUGAUGUCGAACCGUACCUAAAUAGCUGAAACACAAGUAGGACACUGUACCGCAACUCAAAUUCUCAAAGCAAAAAUUGGACCAAAAUUGUCGGAGUUGAAGUUGGUAAGCGGUGGUUGUGUAUGUGGUAUAUGGUGAGGCUAUGCGGAAGUGGUGGAGGUAUGCGGAAGUAUAUGUGGACACCGGAACAAAAUUUAGGCAAAAAUGGACAAAAAACGGGCAGCGGAGAGGAAGUGGUGCUGCCAGGGGCCGGACGUCCGGGCUCGCGGCCGGAUGUCCGGGGCGUCGGAUGUCUGGGCUAUCGGGCCGGAUGUCCGGGGUCUGGAUCCGUGGAUGGAUUCGAAGAUCGUCGCGAGGAGAGGUCAAAUCCGGGCAAAAUUUAGAGAAAUUUGUGGAUGGGAAUUGGGAAAAAUUGGAUGGAAAGCUAGAUCUACCUGCAACACACGAAAUCCGCGGAUCAAAUCCAACAAAACUUCAUCACACCAACAAAUCACAAAAAAAAAA